UACUGAUAGUGUGGAUGACCCACUGCGACAUUCAAGACUCCAGCUCUCUGGUGAAGAAAUCACAGAAGCUGUGCGUAAGAUACUGAAUGAACCGGAGCACAUCUGCGCUAGAACCGGCCUGCUUCCCUUCUGUGCCACCAACAAACCGCCAGCUAUAAGACUUUGAUUUUUCUCUUUGCUGAAUCUGUUAUUGAUAUGUCUGGUCAUUGUUUUUAAUAUUAGUGUCUGCAUAAUCAGGGUGAUGAUCCGUUUUGGAGCAAAAAGCUACCGCGGGAGAAACCAGAGAAAAUAGAUAAACUGGAAAGAGCAACCCGGCAAAAAACUAAAGUUGUGAAGAAGACCGCCCACCGGAAAAGAACCACUGCAUCUUCUAAUCCGGCCCCUGAUGACGAGGUGGAUAAUCCGGACUUUGAGGUAGAGCUUGACUCACUUGGUUUAUUUUUCAUGCAUCUUAUUGAUGAUGAUAUUUGUCAGGAUGAUGCCGAAGCCAGCCAUGCGGAUGUUGCAGAGGUAAUUAUUCUCUCUUCCGAUUCAGAAACUUUGCCUUCACAAAAAAUCUGUCAGGCAAACCGGAAAGUUAAAUUUUCUCAUCCUCUUGCUUAUUUGGAUCCUAAACUUCUUAUGAAGACUCAACAACACGAAGCUCGCCGCACCACCCGGCACAGCGGCCAGGUAGUUACCUCCGCCGGUUUACCGAACAGUCCGGUUCGGAAACGUCAUUCUGAGGUCUCUAAUUCGCUUGUCAGUGCUUAUCCUAAAGCGGGCUGCUUUCGUCAACCUCUUAAUCCGUCUGACUCCGAUUAUCAGGUUAUUUCCCACUCAUCUUCUGGCGAGUCGUCGGCUACUCAGCUCCCAUCGCUGAAAACGGUGCUUGGGUAAGCUAUAUUUAUUGUGAUGUUUGCAGUAUAUUGCCUUAGAACAUAUGUUGUAUUUAAUUUUGUUAUUUUUCUCAGGGCCAAACCUAGGCCGAGCAAGAAGGCCCGCCUGGAUAAAGCGGUCGAAGAAGAUGUCAUUCUUGAACCAGGCACCACACCCAAUCUUGAAGCGGCUAUUCCUGAGGAUAUUCCCAAUGAUCCACCGCAGCCAGAUGAUGAUCUUACUGCUGAGGAAAGACCUACUGAUACCUCAGGUCCUAUCCAUCAGCCCACAGGUUCCCUCUGGGUUGAAAGCUCCACCGGUCCCGCAAAACCUACUGACAAGCCAACAGCUCCAGUGCAAACCGGCGGUACCAAUGAUGAUGAAGUUAUCAUUACUGGCACUGGCCAUACUGAGCCAAGCAAUCCUAUCGCUUUAUCCAAACAUUCUCCCAAGGAAGAAUUAGCUGCUUUUGGCAAAGGCAAGUGGAAUGCUGAUCUGACGGCUUACGCUGCUCUGAACGCCCAAGAUAUCCAUUCCGGCUAUCUGAACCGGCUGUAUACCAGCCGUGACUAUGAAGCCAGUCUGGUUAACAUGAUGAAGGAUAAAUAUGAGGUAACUUCCAUAUGCUCCUUCCUGCUUGUAUGCUUUCAUUCUUGUUGACUCUCCUAGCCCCUAAGGGCCGAUUUGAAAUAUUCUUUCAAACCGGGACUAAAUAAUAUGAAUCUUGAUGCUUUGAAAUUUGCUGAUGUAGUCCCCAAGGGCCGGUUCAACUUAGCGUAGUUAAACCGGUACUUUAAGUAAUUGAAACUGCCGCAUCAGAAUACAUAUGAUCAAAUAGCCAUUAGCCCCCAAGUGCCAAGUUGAAUACUUGUAUUGAGCUUGGGACUUUGUAAACAAUUGAAAGAUGAAGAUCGAAUAUGCAUUAGCCCCCAAGUGCUAAGCGCAUAACUUGUUAUGUGGUUGGUACUUGAAUCCUUCUACCGAUUUGUUGAAACAUAUAUCUGUAUGCCUGCAGGCGGAGCUGAAGGCGAAAGAAAGCCAAGUCAUCGAUCUGCAAGAAAACCUGAAAACCCAACAGGCUGAAACCUCCAAGGCAAAAGAGGAAUUGGCCAGUGCCUUAAGUGCCAUGGAACAACUUAAGGAGAACUUCAAGAAGAAACGGGCGGGUUAGGCCACUGAAAAAUCCGCUUUGAUCAAACGAGCAGAGGAUGCCGAGGCUGCACUGAAACCAGUGACGGAUGAACUGACCAGCAUAAAGCGGCACGUUCAUGCCAUGACCACUGCUAUCUUUGGUAAGCCAGCUUGCCUUAUGAAUUGGUUCUACCUUCUUACAGAGUUGCCGGUUUAUUAACCUUUUAUGGUAUUUCAGGGACUCGCAUUGGUCACUUGGGGUCAGAUGUGCGGAAGAAAUUGAAAGACGCCUAUACCUUGGUAGAACAAUUGUAUACUGGUGCCCAGCAGAUCAUCUGUACCGCGUCUCAUAACAAACCGGCGCCCACUUUGAUUCAAGAUACUUUGAUGAAACUGUCAGUGCUUCCUGCCCGGGUUGAAGAGCUGAAGAAAUCUGCUGCUUGAACUGGUGCAAUCAAUGCUUUAAUCCGGGCAAAAGCCUGGGUGCCGGAUUUUGAUCCUAUUGAAGCGGCUCAGGGUUAUCCCAGUUUGAAGGAAGACAGGUCAGAAUUUGGUGAAGCCGCCAUAAACCGGGAGGUACAUCCGCUAGCUUGUCAACUGGCUGAGGAAGCAGAUUUGUCUCAUUAUCAAGCCCAAUAUGACAGCCAGAACAAGCGAAUAGCUGCACCAAUCCAUGAAUCGAAAAACCUGAUCCCUCCAAUCCGUAAGUAUACUUAUGCUCCCGAUAUUGACCCGUCUUUGCUAAUCCAUGACGAAGCUGUUUUUCAAGCAUUGAUGGGAAUUGACUAGACAACUGUGGAUUUCCAGCCACUGGGUAGAGAAACGGAAGCUAAAGCGGCGCAGGAUGACCCACAACCAUCAGGCCAGGCUGGUGGCCAAGCUUAAACCGGAAGCCGGUUUUAAAACUGUCUCUCCUUUGUGAAAAACAAUUAUGUUAUUAUGGGCACCAUGUUGCCUUGUAAUAGGCUAGCUGAUACCUUUGAUGUUGAUAUGCCUUCGUGCAUAACUUGUUCUUCCUGUGGUAAUGAUCUUUCCAAAAUACUUUCUGAAAUAAGAAAUUCGUUAAGUGCCACUGCGGUUGUACUGUCAGGCGGAAUAUGAUGUUUGUAUAUAUAAAGUCAAAACAUCCGAAACAAAAUUUUAAGUAUAUGAUCAAAAAAUUUGAGAUACAUAAUACCUGCCACCAUUGAGUGUGAAGUUGGCUUGGCCAACCUUGAAGCGGAGUUUUUGCAAACCCACACUGUUGGAGGAAAUAACAACUCAUGUAUAUGUAUAUGACACUGGUUACCAUGUAAACCAUGUCGGGUUAUAAUGAACACCGUGUUACUCCAUAAGAGGAUGUUAACAACAAGGAUCAAACCGGACAAAUAAUCUCCGGAUUGACGUGAACUGUGUUCCAUCAAUUGAUUGGUUAAAAAGCUUUGUCGGUUUAAAGAACACAAUAAAAAACAAAAGCCUCCCUUCAAAGAAAAGUAUGAAGCAAAAGUAACGACAAAAACGUUUGCCAAAAAAGAUUUAUUAAGCUGAUCAAAUGGCGUAACCAUGGCCAAACACGACCAAGCUCCCGUUAGGUGUAACUAUGGUUCUAGUUAGCCAGGUCCCCAAGUGAUUCUUCUGGCAUUUAUGCCGACCAAAUGGCAUGGUCAUGGUUCGGGUUCGACCAAUCCCCCAAGUGAUUCUGUGGCCUUAGGCUGAUCAAGAGGCAUGACUGGUUCAGACAUGACCAAGUCCCCAAGUGAUCUGGUGGCUUUCGCCUAUCAAGAGGCAUGGUAUUGGUUCGGACACGACCAAUCCUCCAAGUGAUAUAACACGAUGCUUUUAGCAAAGCGAACUUAAGGGGUAAACCGGAGGCCGCUUUAGAGCAACUCCAUGUAACCUCACAUGAUGUAAAAGAACAGAUACCCCGCUUUAGCUGAGGUUCCGGUUUAUUAUACUUAGUCAUAGUAUAUACAUUGUAUGUACAUAAGUAUAGCCAAUGGCUCAGGUAUAGUAAGGCCGAAGAUGAGCUAUAUUCCACGGCCUGUUAGUCUCCUCCUCUGAUGUACGUGAGUCCUUAUGCUCUUGAAUAUCGAUCAGAUAGUAUGACCCGUUGUGCAGAUUCUUGCUGACCACGAAAGGCCCCUCCCAAGGUGGGGAUAGCUUAUGCAUAUCAGUCUGAUCUUGGAUGAGCUGAAGCACCAAAUCUCCUUCCUGGAAGGCUCUGGUUCUGACUCGGCGACUAUGAUAACGACGAAGAUCCUGCUGGUAAAUCGCCGACCGGGCGGCUGCGAUGUCACGCUCUUCAUCCAACUGGUCCAAAGCAUCUUGUCGUACUGUCUCGUUGUUCGCUUCAACAUAAGCCGUGACACGAGGUGAGUCAUGACGGAUAUCGCUGGGGAGAACCGCCUCCGCUCCAUAAACCAUGAAGAACGGUGUGUAUCCUGUUGAUCUGUUGGGUGUUGUAUUGAUGCUCCAUAACACAGAUGGUAAUUCUUCUACCCAACAACCGGCGUUCUCUGCAGAGGAACCAUGAGCCGGGGCUUGAUGCCUCUCAAGAUCUCUUGAUUAGCUCUUUCUGCUUGACCAUUGGACUGUGGAUGUGCCACCGAUGAAACGUCGAGCCGGAUGUGCUCCCGUUCGCAGAACUCCUUCAUAGCACCUUUGGACAAAUUGGUACCAUUAUCUGUGAUAAUACUGUGCGGAAAGCCAAACCGGAAAAUCACCUUUUUGAUGAAUUGAACCGCCGUGGCCGCAUCACACUUGCUAACAGGUUCUGCCUCCACCCACUUUGUAAACUUGUCCACCGCCACCAGGAGGUGGGUCUUCUUAUCUUUGGACCUUUUGAAAGGCCCAACCAUAUCCAGCCCCCAAGUCACAAACGGCCAAGUAAUUGGAAUCAUCCACAAUUCUUGAUCCGGUACAUGAGCACGUCUUGAAAACCUUUGGCAACCGUCACAUCGUCUGACCAGAUCCUUCGCAUCAGCAUGAGCAGUUAACCAAUAGAAACCAUGGUGAAACGCUUUAGCCACCAGAGACUUUGAACCGGCGUGGUGACCACAAUCUCCUUCGUGGAUCUCACGCAAAAAUUCACGGCCUUCUUCAGGAGACACGCAACAUUGAAAAGCUCCUGAUACACUGCAAUGAUGCAACUCACCGUUGAUGAAAGCCAUGGACUUGGAUCGCCGGAUUAUCUGCCGGGCCAGAAUCUCAUCUUCUGGCAACUCGCCCCGGUUCUUGUACGCCAGGUAAGGAAGCGUCCAAUCCGGAAUAACAUGAAGAACUGCCACCAAUUGAGCCUCCGGAUCAGGAAUGGCCAAAUCCUCUUCACCAGGGAUCUUCACCACGGGUUGUGCAGCACAUCCAGAAAAACAUUGGGUGGGACCGGUUUGCGCUGAGAGCCCAGCCGGCUUAAAGCGUCCGCCGCUUCAUGUUUCCGCCGGUCCACGUGGUCCACCUGAUAGCCUCUGAAAUAACCUGCAACAAUAUCCACCUCACGACGAUAUGCUGCCAUGAGUGGGUCCUUAGAGUCCCAAGUGCCAGACACUUGCUAAGCCACAAGGUCCGAAUCACCGAAGCACUUAACUCGACUUAGAUUCAUCUCCUUAGCCAUCCGAAGACCAUGGAGCAAGGCUUCAUACUCAGCUGCAUUGUUAGUACAAGGGAACAUUAAAUGGAGAACAUAACAAAACUUAUCACCUCGUGGGGAAGUUAAUACGACUCCAGCCCCCGAGCCUUCCAACUGCCUGGAUCCGUCGAAAUGGAUGGUCCAAUACGUAUGAUCCGGCUUUUCUUCAGGUGCUUGCAUUUCUGUCCAAUCAUUGAUGAAAUCAACAAGUGCUUGAGACUUAAUCGCUGUCUGAGGCACAUAUUUCAAACCGUACGGCCCCAGCUCUAUAGCCCACUUUGCAAUCCGGCCAGUUGCUUCCCGGUUCUGGAUGAUAUCUCCCAAAGGAGCAGAACUGACCACUGUAAUUGGGUGCCCUUGGAAGUAUUGCUUAAGCUUCCGGCUUGCCAUAAAAACUCCGUACACCAGCUUCUGCCAGUGAGGAUACCUUUGCUUGGACUCAAUGAGUACCUCGCUGAUAUAAUAGACCGGACGUUGAACCGGAUGCUCCUUACCUGCCUCCUUUCGUUCCACCACAAUAGCCACGCUGACUGCACGAGCAUUAGCAGCAACAUAUAGCAGUAACGGCUCCUUGUCAAUGGGAGCGGCGAGCACAGGCGGAUUGGCAAAUUGCCGCUUUAAGUUCUCAAAUGCUUCAUCAGUAGCAGAACUCCAGACGAACUGAUCUGUCUUCUUCAACAUCUGAUACAAAGGGAUCGCCUUCUCACCAAGGCGGCUGAUAAAUCGGCUUAUCGUGGCAAUCCGGCCUGCCAGGCGUUGAACAUCAUUGAUACACUUCGGUUUAGCCAGGGAGGUGAUGGUUGUGAUCUUCUCCGGAUUAGCCUCAAUUCCCUUGUUGGACACCAGAAAACCCAAUAACUUGCCCGCCGGUACACCAAAGACACACUUGUCCGGAUUAAGCAUCAUCUUGUACGUCCUUAGGUUAUCAAAGGUUUCCUUCAAAUCGUCAACCAGAGUCUCCUUCUCCCUGGAUUUAACCACGAUAUCAUCCAUGUAAGCAUGUACAUUAUGGCCAAUCUGCUUGUGAAGACAAUUUUGUACACACCGUUGAUAAGUUGCCUGGGCACUUUUGAGCCCAAAGGGCGUAGACACAUAGCAGAAGGCUCCAAAGGGAGUUAUGAAUGCCGUCUUCUCCUGGUCCUUAACUGCCAUUUUGAUCUGAUGAUAGCCAGAAUAUGCAUCCAAAAAACUUAAACGCUCACAACCCGCCGUAGCAUCAAUGAUUUGAUCAAUACGGGGGAGGGCAAAAGGAUCUGCUGGACAAGCCUUAUUAAGAUCUGUGUAAUCCACACACAUACGGCAGGUGCCGUUUUUCUUAAGGACUGGCACCGGAUUGGCAAGCCACUCAGGGUGAAAAACUUCAACAAUAAAACCAGCUGCUAAGAGCCUGGCUACCUCUUCUCCAAUCGCCUUGCAUCUUAAUUCAUUAAACCGGUGGAGGAACUGUUUCACCGGUUUGUAUUUAGGAUCCACAUUAAGUGUGUGCUCAGUGAGUUGCCUCGGUACACCUGGCAUGUCAGAGGGCUUCCAUGCAAAAAUGUCCCAAUUCUCACGGAUGAACUCGAUGAGUGCGCUUUCCUAUUUCGGAUCCAAGUUGGCACUAAUGUUGAACUGCUUGGACGAAUCGCCAGGUACGAAGUCAACAAGCUUAGUUUCUGCUGCCGAUUUGAACUUCAGGGCCGGAUCAUGCUCCGUAGUUGGCUUCUUCAACGGAGUCAUGUCCGCCGGAUCAAUAUUGUCUUUAUAGUACUUCAACUCCUCGGUGGCACAAACUGACUCUGCAUAAGCUGCAUCUCCUUCCUCGCAUUCCAAAGUGAUUUUGCGGCUUUCGUGAACCGUUAUUGUCCCCUGGUGACCCGGCAUCUUGAGCUGCAAAUACACAUAACAGGGCUGAGCCAUAAACUUGGCGUAUGCCGGACGCCCAAACAGAGCAUGAUAUGGACUUUGGAUUUUCACCACUUCAAACGUUAAUGUCUCUGACCUGGAAUCAUGAUCAUCCCCAAAGGCCACUUCAAGAGCUAUCUUACCAAUGGGAUAUGCUGGUCUGCCAGGCACUACACCGUGGAAUACUAUAUUGGACGGUUUGAGAUUCUUAUCUGUUAGUCCCAUACGACGGAAGGUCUCAUAGUAUAGGAUGUUAAUGUCGCUCCCUCCAUCCAUGAGCACCUUGGUGAACUUAUAACCUCCCACCUAAGGCGCCACCACCAGAGCCAACUGACCUGGAUUAUCAACCUGGAGUGGGUGAUCCUCUCUGCUCCAUAUGAUUGGCUGUUCAGACCAACGUAGAUAAUGGGUUGUGGCCGGUUCGACAGAGUUGACUGCCCGCCUCUGAACCUUCCGGUCCCGCUUGUCCAGGCUAGUAGUAAAGACAUGGUACUGCCCAUUACUCAACUGCUUUGGGUUGCUUUGGUAACCUGACUGUUGCUGCUGUUGGUUGUAACCAUCCUGGUUGUUCUGACUAUUUUGACCAUUAUGUCCACCCGGAUUACCAUUAAAUCCUAAACCGGAACUUCCUCCACCGUAACCUGGCCCGGUCCCUGAGCCACCGCCAGAUCCGUGAUCAUACUGGAAUUUAUUAGAAUUCUUGAACUCCUGCAUAAUAAAGCAAUCUUUCCAAAGGUGGUUUGCUGGCUCCUCCUUCGUCCCAUGUCUAGGACAAGGCUGGCUUAGCAGAUAGUUCAGGCGGUUUGGGUUGGGGUUGGGCGCUCCACUAUGAUUUUUCGGCCUACCCUUGCGCCGCUGGCCAUUGUCCUGUACGUUGGUAUUAGCCACAAAAUCCAUGUUGCCAUCCGCUUUACGCUUGCCUCCUCCGCCAUUGCCUACCCAGUGAUGCUGCUGACCUUUGGAGUUGCUGUUCUUCUUCCCCUUCCCUGUCUUGUCAUCAUCAGAUUCGGGAUCCUUGGUACUAUCAGAAUCAGCAUAUUUUACCAAAGCGGCCAUGAGAGUCCCCAUGUCGGUGCAAUGACGCUUCAUCCGUCCCAAUUUCAACUUCAGGGGCCCAAACCGGCAGUUGCCUUCUAGGGUUAAUACUGCAGUGUCAGUGUUGAUGCGGUCUGAGGAGUGCAACACUUGUGAAACCCGGCGUACCCAAUGAGUCGUUGACUCUCCUUCCUCCUGGACGCAUGCAGCUAAGUCCACUAUCGACAUAGGUUGUUUACAGGUAUCCUUGAAAUUGUUGAUAAACCGGGCUCGUAAUUGGGCCCAUGAACUGAUAGAAUUAGCGGGCAAGAUUUUUAACCAAGUACGGGCCGUUCCUUCAAGCAUCAUGGUGAAGUAUUUCGCACACGCCGUGUCAUCCACAUCAAGCAUCUCCAUGGCCAUCUCAUAGCUCUCUACCCAUGUCUCUGGUGGUUGAUCCGCCGUAUAAUUUGGUACCUUGCGUGGGCCUUUGAAAUCCUUGGGCAGGCGCACGUUGCGUAAAGCGGAGACGAGGCAAGGCACCCCCAAAGAACUAGAAGUAACACCAGGUUCGAUCGAAAUGGUUGGACGAACCGGCGUGAGCUGCCGAGCCUGAUGCUGUGCGGCUAACUCGGCCUCCCUACGCGCUCGGGCCCGGUUCACCACUUCCUGAGCGUCAUCAGCACCACCCGUCGGGUUGUUACCACGGGGUGUUCCACGUCGUUCAUUACUCGACACUGCUGGUUCAUCCAUAUGCCUGCUAUAGCUCCGGCUUGGACGGGGGUUCGAGUGGAUCCGGUCGCGGCUGUACGAGUACGCCUCCUGUUGGGCCAAAGCUGUCCUCAGAAGUUCCUUGACCUGUCGCGUCUCUACCGCCUACGGCGAGUCACCUUCAACUGGAAUGGCCUCCAGUCGUGCAGCAGCGGCAACAAGAUUGUCCAUUGGGUUGGAGUAGUGACCCGGAGGUGCUAAAGCAUCCCGAGGUAUAACGGUGUUUUGACGAGGCGGGUCCAUCUGACGGGGUUGAACCGGUGCACUGGUCCCAGGGGCUUCUGCACGGUUCCCCUCCAGCGGAUUACUGGCUCUUGGUCCUGGAGUGUUGAAAAGGUCUCUGGCCUCGAAAACCAGAGGUAAGCGGGACCGGUGCUUCCUCCUCAUGACUUCAUGCGACGCGCUCUGAUCCAACAUAAGCCUGUAGGCCUAUGCGUCUAAAGCGGCCCGCUCUGCGGCCAUCCUGGUGUCCUCAGCCGCCAGAUCCGUUUUGGCCUGGGUGAUUUGUUCCUUUACCUUUGCAAUCUCCGUGUUGUGAGCGUCCUGAUCUGGCAGAUUAACUUCUGCCAUAAGCACAGCCAACGCAUCAAAUGGUUCUGAUAGAACCUGAGCCGGUGGGUGCACAGGGCCUCCCGCCUCGGCAACCGUUGCCGCUGCUGAACUGGAGAUCGUUGUCGCGGCUGUCGAAGAGUGAAGCACUGCUUGUGUUCCGGUCAUGAAUAUUCCAACCCGGUUAGGCAGAUCAGAGGGGUCCGGAAUACUGUCGCCAUCGGAACAGCUCUCAAUCCGGCCAUCUUGUAGUUGAUAAAGAGAUUUGGUUUCUCCGGUCGAAGAUUCGUCACCGGAACGAACGGCAGUCGCCCCGUGAAGCUCCGAUCCAUCCUCAUAACUCCCUCCAUGGAUCAUUCCCACGAAGGCACGCUUCAUGGUCGGUUUAACCCGGGCGGAUCGCGCACGCUGAGCCGUCUCGACGAGGUCAGUGCAGAUGUCCGGCUCAGGGCCCGGUUCAUCAAUCUUGCCAAUGAAAACGUGAAUGCUACCAAAGGGGACCCGGUACCCGUACUCAAUUGAGCCGACCUCGGGGCCCCAGCCUGCGUCGUCGAUGUAGAGUUUGCCGUGACGACUCUUAGUCAUCCGGCCUACAUUGUAGCCCUCGAGUCCUUUAAAGCGGCCCUCCAAGAACCGGAAACCAUCGUGCGAUAGCCCCACGGUGGGCGCCAACUGUCGUGGUUUUGUCACGGCAGAUGUCCUAGAGAAAGGACUUAGUCAUGGGGCCAUCUCUACGGGUUAGCUUGAAGGGGUUAAAGCGGACACAAGGACGCAAGAGAGUUUAUACUAGUUCGGCCCCUUCAAUGAAGGUAAAAGCCUACCUCUAGUUGUGAUGGAAUUGAUGGGUGUUUUGAUGACUAGGGAGCAAAUAAGCUUCGCCUAUGUCUCGAGUUGUUGUCUAUCUUUGAACCGCCGUCGGGUCGUCCCCUUAUAUACAUGGGUGACGCCCAUCGGUUUACAGUCCCGAUACCGGCUCAUAGAUGCGUCCGGUUUGGUCUCCACUAUUCCUAAUUUAUAACACAAGUUACAUACCGACGCCGGUUUAUAGCUAUAGGCCUUAAACCGAUUAUGGGCCUUCAGCCCUCAUCUGCCCUCAUGGGCUUUUAUCAUACUCAACUACUGAUGAAGUUAACCUGGCCUGUCCUGGCAGGUUUACGCCCAGUAGUAAUAUCCCCAACACCUUCCCUGUCUUGUCAUCAUCAGAUUCGGGAUCCUUGGUACUAUCAGAAUCAGCAUAUUUUACCAAAGCGGCCAUGAGGGUCCCUAUGUCGGUGCAAUGACGCUUCAUCCGUCCCAAUUUCAACUUCAGGGGCCCAAACCGGCAGUUGCCUUCUAGGGUUAAUACUGCGGUGUCAGCGUUGAUGCGGUCUGAGGAGUGCAACACUUGUGAAACCCGGCGCACCCAAUGAGUCGUUGACUCUCCUUCCUCCUGGACGCAUGCAGCUAAGUCCACUAUCGACAUAGGUUGUUUACAGGUAUCCUUGAAAUUGUUGAUAAACCGGGCUCGUAAUUGGGCCCAUGAACUGAUAGAAUUAGCGGGCAAGCUUUUUAAACAAGUACGGGCCAUUCCUUCAAGCAUCAUGGUGAAGUAUUUCGCACAUGCCGUUUCAUCCACAUCAAGCAUCUCCAUGGCCAUCUCAUAGCUCUCUACCCAUGUCUCUGGUGGUUGAUCCGCCGUAUAAUUUGGUACCUUGCGUGGGCCUUUGAAAUCCUUGGGCAAGUGCAUGUUGCGUAAAGCGGGGACGAGGCAAGGCACCCCCAAAGAACUAGAAGUAACACCAGGUUCGAUCGAAAUGGUUGGACGAACCGGCGUGAGCUGCCGAGCCUGAUGUUGUGCGGCUAACUCAGCCUCCCUACGCGCUCGGGCCCGGUUCACCACUUCCUGAGCGUCAUCAGCACCACCCGUCGGGUUGUUGUCCCGGGGUGCCCCACGUCGUUCAUUACUCGACACUGCCGGUUCAUCCAUAUGUCUGCUAUAGCUCUGGCUUGGACGAGGGGUCGAGUGGAUUCGGUCGCGGCUGUACGAGUAUGCUUCCUGUUGGGCCAAAGUGGUCCUCAGAAGUUCCUUGACCCGCCGUGUCUCUACUGCCUAUGGCGAGUCACCUUUAAUUGGAAUGGCCUCCAGCCGUGCAGCAGCGGCAACAAGAUUGUCCAUUGGGCUGGAGUAGUGACCUGGGGGUGUUAAAGCAGCCUGAGGCACAACGGUGUUUUGACGAGGCUGAACCGGUGCACCGGUCCCAGGGACUUCUGCCCGGUUCCCCUCCAGCGGAUUGCUGGCUCUUGGCCCUGGAGUGUUGAAAAGGUCUCUGGCCUCGAAAACUGGAGGUAAGCGGGACCGGUGCUUCCUCCUCAUGACUUCAUGUGAUGCGCUCUAGUCUAGCAUAAGCCUGCAGGCCUGUGCGUCUAAAGCAGCCUGCUCUGCGGCCAUCCUGGUGUCCUCAGCCGCCAGAUCCGCCUUGGCCUGGGUGAUCUGUUCCUUUACCUUUGCAAUCUCCGUAUUGUGAACGUCCUGAUCUGGCGGAUUAACUUCCGUCAUAAGCACAGCCAACGCAUCAAACAGCUCUGAUAGAACUUGAGUCGGCGGGUGCACAGGGCCUCCUGCCCCGGCGGCCGUUGCUGCUGCUGAACCGGAAAUCGUUGCCGCAGCUGUCGAAGAAUGAAGCGCUGCUUGUGUUCCGGCCAUGAAUACUCCAACCCGGUUGGGCAGAUCAGAGGGGUCCGGAAUACUGUCGCCAUCGGAAUACAGUUUCUCCGGUAGAAGAUUCGUCACUGGAACAAAUGACAGUCGCCCCGCGAAAUCCCGAUCCGUCCUCAUGACUUCCUCCAUGGAUGACUCCCACGAAGGCACGCUUCAUGGCCGGUUUAACCCGGGCGGAUUGCGCACGCUGAGCCAUCUCGACGAGGUCGGUGCAGAUGUCCGGCUCAGGGCCCGGUUCACCGAUCUUCCCAAUGAAAACGUGAAUGCUACCAAAGGGAACCCGGUACCCGUACUCAACUGAGCCAGCCUCGGGGCCCCAGCCUGCAUCAUCGAUGUAGAGCCUGCCGCGACGACUCUUAGUCAUCCGGCCUACAGCAUAGCCCUCGAGUCCUUCAAAGCGGCCCUCCAAGAACCGGAAACCAUCAUGCGAUAGCCCCACGGUGGGUGCCAACUGUCAUGGUUUUGUCACGGCAGAUGUCCUAGAGAAAGGACUUAGUCGUGGAGCCAUCGCUACGGGUUAGCUUGAAGGGGUUAAAGCGGACACAAGGACGCAAGAGAGUUUAUACUAGUUUGGCCCCUUCAAUGAAGGUAAAAGCCUACUUCUAGUUGUGAUGGAAUUGAUGGGUGUUUCGAUGACUAGGGAGCGAAUAAGCUUCGCCUAUGUCUCGAGUCGUUGUCUGUCGUCUUUGAACCGCCGUCGGGUCAUCCCCUUAUAUACAUGGGUGACGCCUGCCGGUUCAGAGAGUCCCAACACCGGUUCAUACUCGUAUCUGGGUUGGUCUCUCCUUGUUCCUAACUCAUAUUACAAGUAUGUGCACAAAGCUGAUGUACGGCUACAGGUUGUAAACGGACUACGGGCCCUGGGCCUUUAUCUGCCUCUUUGGGCUUUAACACCUUUGAACUACUGAUGGAGUUAAUCCGGCCCAGGUAGGCCGGUUUAUGCCCAGUAGUAAUAUCCCCAACAAUACUUGUGACAUUGAAUCACAUCGUUGGUUUACCAACUUCUCUUUUUUUUAGUAAGGGUGAUAACCCAAAUCUUGAGUAUGAUAACUCCCAUCAUAUUUUGCCGGUUUGUAAUAAAACCGUGUCGGGUUGUAAUAAACACCGGAUAAUCAUCCUGGCAACUUAUAGUCAAUGCCAGACCGGGCUAAGAAAAACUUCGGUUUAUAAUUGAGUUUGUACUAACAAUUGAUAGUUGAAAGCUUGUGCCAGGUUAAGAAACACCGGACUGAUGAAAUGACUUAUAGUCUGGCCGGGUCAAUGGACGCCGGUUUACCUUAAAACCUUAUCAAAGGAGAAGAAACUUUGAUAAAAAUCAAAUGAAAAAAACUUGUAGUCGAGGCUUUUCAAGGGCUACCAGGCCCAAACUCGAGGCUUUUCAUGGGCUGCCAGGCCGCUGAGUUAAACCAUUUGACAAAGCCUUUUAAGAUGGGCCUCCAACUAACCAAUCGUCAUUUUAACUUUCACAAGUUCAGGGUCUGUAUAAGAGUAACUUGUCAAACAUUCAGCGGGUCAUGCCAGGAUUACCUGCAUAGGAGUGGCUUACUUGAUAAAGGUAGGUUAACCCGGGGUUUUAGGUGAAUACACCAGGCUUCCAAGCUGUGGGUCGAUACACAAUUACAAGGGUCCUUUCAAACUCUUUGUUACUUUACACAAAGAGCCCCCAAGUAACUUUGUGAGUUGUGCUCAAUGGGUGCCUAUGUUUGAGUUGUGCGUAGCAACAAGACUCUCUUUGGCCCCUUGGGUGUGAAGCUCCCAAGCUUUGUUGUGGCGUGAUAGCCGGAUUAAUGGACAGGACUCCGCUUUGCAAGCAGAAGCUCCCAUGUGAUAUAUUUCUAAGCUGUGCUCGCCGGGUGCCUAUGUUUGAGUUGUGGUGUGCAACAAACUCUCUUUGGCCCCUGAUGAUAAUAUUGUCUUGAUAGCCGCAUCAAGAGGGUAGUAACGCCAUGUUCUCUUAGGUGAAUACACCUAUGUUUGAACAGGAAGCCCCCAAGUAAUCAUAUGAAGAUGAGCCCAUAAGGCAGGACACCCAUGUUUGAACCGUGCGUCAGGGCAGCAGGUCCUCUUGGGCAACCUUUAACUUUUUGCAAGAGAUAAAUUCUUCUUGAACCGGUCGUUAAACCGGAUAUUGAGAGCUUCAAAGCUUUGUGGGAGACAUCUUUCCCUUGAACCGGACUUUAAACCGGAAUCUUCAUUUUCAGCCGGAAAUUUUCUGACGGCCUUUAAACUCGAACUUGCGAGAAGUUAAGUCCUUUUUGAACCGGACAUUUUUAAACCGGAUUUGAGAGCUUCAGAGCUUUGCAAGAGAUAGUUUCCUCUUAAACCGGAUUUAAACCAGAUACUAAGGGCUUCUCGCUGUGUGGGAGACGGGAUUCCCCUUAAACCGGAUAAUAAACCAGAAGCAUCAUUGUGAGCCGGAAUAUUUCUGACGGCCUUUAAAUUUUCACCAAUAUAACAGUAGCCUCCGGGACCAAGUUAUCUUUCUCUUCAACGUCCUGGGGCACUUGAAUUUGCUAAAACUGGCAAGACUUGUUGCGUCAUAUCAUCAUAGCCUCCGAGUCUUAAGAUGACUCAAGGAGUUGUCUUGAGAUUCUCCGUACUUGACCAUAGCAGAAGGUAUAAAUCAUCGGUGUUAACGACGCGAUAUAAAUCCAUAGAAGGUUGAGGUGACUGCGGCGGGUUAUAAAUGAUCCCGUAUGAACCGUGUCAGCAACUCGGCCAAUGGUUCCCUCCAACUGGCUGUUUGAAGUUGACCAAACUGUAGUGACAGCGAUUUGUGUCCAUUGAACCAUCCAGCGCAGAUGGCGGCUGAUGAUAACCCUUAGGAAUAACAAGUGAUUCUUCAUCAUCACUUUCAUUAGUAUCAUCAGAUUCAAUAUUUUCAAUCUCUCUAGCCCUAGCAAGUUGUUCAUCAAGAAAAUCACUAAGUGGCACAGUAGUAUCAGGCAUAGAGGUAGUUUCAUCAUAAGUAUCAUGCAUAGCAGAAGUGGCAUCAUCAAUAACGUGCGACAUAUCAGAACAAAUAGCAGAAGCAGGUGUAGGUGUCGCAAGCUUACUUAAAACAGAAGGUGAAUCAAGUGCAGAGCUAGAUGGCAGUUCCUUACCUCCCCUCGUAGUUGAGGGAUAAAUCUUGGUUCUUGGAUCUUUCAAGUUUUUCAUAAUGAUAAGCAGAUAUAUAUCCCAAGUGACUCAAAGAAUAGAGCUAUGCUCCCCGGCAACGGUGCCAGAAAAUAGUCUUGAUAACCCACAAGUAUAGGGGAUCGCAACAAUUUUCGAGGGUAAAGUAUUCAACCCAAAUUUAUUGAUUCGACACAAGGGGAGCCAAAGAAUAUUCUCAAGUAUUAGCAGUUGAGUUGUCAAUUCAACCACACCUGGAAACUUAAUAUCUGCAGCAAAGUGUUUAGUAGCAAAGUAAUAUGAUAGUAGUGGUAACGGUGGCAAAAGGUAACAGUAAUAAAAGUAAUGUUUUUGGUAUUUUGUAGUGAUGAUAGCAAUUGCAACGGGAAAGUAAAUAAGCGAAGAACAUAUAAUAGGCAAUGGAUCAGUGAUGGAGAAUUAUGCCAGAUGCGGUUCAUCAUGUAACAGUCAUAACCUAGGGUGACACAGAACAAGCUCCAGUUCGUCAAUGUAAUGUAGGCAUGUAUUCCGAAUAUAGUCAUACAUGCUUAUGGAAAAGAACUUGCAUGACAUCUUUUGUCCUACCCUCCCUUGGCAGCGGGGUCCUUACGGAAACUAAGGGAUAUUAAGGCCUCCUUUUAAUAGAGAACCAGAACAAAGCAUUAACACAUAGUGAAUACAUGAACUCCUCAAAGUACGGUCAUCACCGGUAAGUAUCCCGAUUAUUGUCAUUUCGGGGUUAACGGAUCAUAACACAUAAUAGGUGACUAUAGACUUACAAGAUAGGAUCAAGAACACUCAUAUAUUGAUGAAAACAUAAUAGGUUCAGAUCUGAAAUCAUGGCACUUGGGCCCUAGUGACAAGCAUUAAGCAUAGCAAAGUCUUAGCAACAUCAAUCUCAGAACAUAGUGGACACUAGGGAUCAAACCCUAACAAAACUAACUCGAUUACAUGAUAGAUCCCAUCCAACCCAUCACCGUCCAGCAAGCCUACGAUGGAAUUACUCACGCACGGUGGUGAGCAUCAUGAAAUUGGUGAUGGAGGAUGGUGAUGAUGACGAUGGCGAUGGAUUCCCCUCUCCGGAGCCCCAAACGAACUCCAAAUCAGCCCUCCCGAGAGGUUUUAGGGCUUGGCGGCGGCUCCGUAUCGUAAAACGCGAUGAUUUCUUCUCCCUGGUUUUCUCUCUCUCCAAAACUCAAUAUAUGGAGUUGGAGUUGGAGUCGGAGAGGCAACAGGGGGCCCACGAGGUAGGGGGGCGCGCCCCCACCCUCGUGGACAGGUGAUGGGCCCCUGGCCUUCAUCUUUUGCAGGUAUUUUUCAUAUUUUCUAAGGAGUGGCUCCGUGAAGUUUCAGGUCAUUCCGAGAACGUUUGUUCCUGCACAUAAAUAACACCAUGGUAAUUCUACUGAAAACAACGUCAGUCUGGGUUAGUUCCAUUCAAAUCAUGCAAGUUAGAGUCCAAAACAAGGGCAAAAGUGUUUAGAAAAGUAGAUACGUUGGAGACGUAUCAUUUGUCUAUGUAUUCACACAUGUAUUUGGGUUUCUGGUCAAUACAAUUCUAGCAUGAAUAAUAGACAUUUAUCAUGAAUAAUAAGGAAAUAUAAAAUAAAAACUUUCUUAUUGCCUCUAGGGCAUAUUUCCUUCAGUCUCCCACUUGCACCAGAGUCAAUAAUCUAGAUUACAUUGUAGUGAUUUUAACACCCAUGGUGUCUUGGUGCCGAUCAUGUUUUUCUCAUGGAAGAGGCUUAGUCAACGGGUCUGCUACAUUCAGAUAUGUAUGUAUUCUGCAAAUCUCUAUGUCUCCCUCCUCGACUUGAUCAUGGAUGGAGUUGAAGCGUCUCUAGAUGUGUUUGGUUCUUUCGUGAAAUCUGGAUUCCUUCGCUAAGGCAAUUUCUCCAGUAUUGUCACAAAAGACUUUCAUUGUACCCGAUGCACUAGGUAUUACACCUAUAUCGGAUAUGAACUCCUUCAUUUGUUGCUUCUAAAGCAUCUAUGUACUCUGCUUCACAUGUAGAUCCCGCCAUGACGCUCUGAUUGGAACUACACCAACUAACAUCUCCACCAUUCAAUAUAAAUACAUAUCCGUUUUGUGACUCAGAGUCAUCCGGAUCAGUGUCAAAACUAGCAUCGACGUAACCGUUUAUGAUGAGCUCUUUGUCACCUCCAUAAACGAGAAACAUACCCUUAGUCCUUUUCAGGUACUUCAGGAUGUUCUUGACCAUUGUCCAGUGAUCCACUCCUGGAUUAAUUUGGUACCUCCCUGCUAAACUUAUAGCAAGGCACACAUCAGGUCUAGUACACAUCAUAGUAUACAUGAUAGAACCUAUGGUUGAGGCAUAGCGAAUGACUUUCAUUUUCUCUCUAUCUUCUGCAGUGGUCGGGCAAUGAGUCUGACUCAACUUCACACCUUGUAACACAUGCAAGAACCCUUUCUUUGACUGUUCCAUUUUGAACUUCUUUAAAACUUUAUCAAGAUAUGUGAUUUGUGAAAAUCCUAUUAAGCGUCUUAAUCUAUCUUUAUAGAUCUUGAUGCCCAAUAUAUAAGCAGCUUCACCGAGGUCUUUCAUUGAAAAACAAUUAUUCAAGUAUCCUUUUAUGCCAUCCAGAAAUUCUAUAUCAUUUCCAAUCAACAAUAUGUCAUCCACAUAUAAUAUUAGAAAUGCUACAAAGCUCCCACUCACUUUCUUGUCAAUACAAGCUUCUCCAAAAGUCUGUAUAAAACCAUAUGCUUUGAUCACCUCAUCAAAGCGUAUAUUCCAACUCUGAGAUGCUUGCACCAGUCCAUAGAUGGAUCGCUGGAGCUUGCACACUUUGUUAUCACCUUUAGGAUUGACAAAACCUUCUGACUACAUCAUAUACAACUCUUCUUUAAGAAAUCCAUUAAGGGAUGCAGUUUUGACGUCCAUUUGCCAGAUUUCAUAAUCAUAAAAUGCGGCAAUUGCUAACAUGAAUCGGACAGACUUAAGCAUCGAUACAUGUGAGAAAGUCUCAUCGUAGUCAACUCCUUGAACUUGUCAAAAACCUUUUGCGACAAGUCAAGCUCUGUAGACAGUAACAUUACCAUCAGCGUCAGUCUUCUUCUUGAAGAUCCAUUUAUUCUCUAUGGCUCACCGAUCAUCGGGCAAGUCCACCAAAGUCCAUACUUUGUUCUCAUACAUGGAUCCUAUCUCAGAUUUCAUGGCCUCAAGCCAUUUAUCGAAAUCUGGGCUCGUCAUAGCUACUUCAUAGUUCGUAGGUUUGUCAUGGUCUAGUAACAUGACUUCCAGAACAGGAUUACCGUACCACUCUGGUGCGAAUCGUGCUCUGGUUGACCUACAAGGUUCAGUAGUAACUUGAUCCGAAGUUUCCUGAUCAUUAUCAUUAGCUUCCUCUCUAAUUGGUGUAGGCAUCACGAGAACGGUUUUCUGUGAUGAGCUACCUUCCAAUUCGAGAGAAGGUACAAUUACCUCAUCAAGUUCUACUUUCCUCCCACUCACUUCUUUCGAGAGAAACACCUCUAGAAAGUUUCAAUUCUUGGCAACAAAGAUCUUGCCUUCGGAUUUGUGGUAGAAGGUGUACCCAAUUGUUUCUUUAGGGUAUCCUAUGAAGACACACUUCUCCGAUUUGGGUUCGAGCUUAUCAGGCUGAAGCCUUUUGACAUGAGUGCCGCAACCCCAAACUUUAAGAAACGACAUCUUAUGUUUCUUGCCCAAACCACAGUUCAUACGGUGUCGUCUCAACGGAUUUAGAUGGUGCCCCAUUUAACAUGAAUGAAGUUGUCUCUAAUGCAUAACCCCAAAACAAUAUUGGUAAAUCGGUAAGAGACAUCAUAGAUCGCACCAUAUCUAAUAAAGUACGGUUACGAUGUUCGAACACACCAUUACGCUGUGGUGUUCCAGGUGGCGUGAGUUGUGAAAUUAUUCCACAUUGUUUUAAAUGAAGGCUAAACUCGUAACUCAAAUAUUCGCCUCCGCGAUCAGAUCGUAGAAACUUUAUUUUCUUGUUACGAUGAUUCUCCACUUCACUCUGAAUUUUUUUGAACUUUUCAAAUGUUUCAGACUUGUGUUUCAUUAAGUAGAUAUACCCAUAUCUGCUCAAAUCAUCUGUGAAGGUCAGAAAAUAACGAUAUCCGCCACGAACCUCAACACUUAUUGGACUGCAUACAUUGGCAUGUAUUAUUUGCAAUAAGUCAUUAGCUCGCUCCAUUGUUUCAGAGAAUGGACUUUUAGUCAUCUUGCCCAUGAGGCAUGGUUCGCAAGUAUCAAAUGUUUCAUAAUCAAGUGAUUCCAAAAGCCCGUCUGCAUGGAGUUUCUUCAUGCGCUUUACACCAAUAUGACCUAAACGGCAAUGUCACAAAUAUGUUGCACUAUCAUUAUCAACUUUGCAUUUUUGGCAUCAAUAUUAUGAAUAUGUGUAUCACCACAAUCGAGAUUCAACAAAAAUAGACCACUCUUCAAGGGUGCAUCACCAUAAAAGAUAUUACUCAUAUAAAUAGAACAAUCAUUAUUCUCCGAUUUAAAUGAAUAACUGUCUCGCACUAAACAAGAUCCAGAUAUAAUGUUCAUGCUCAACGCUGGCAUCAAAUAAUAGUUAUUCAGGUCUAAAACUAAUCCCGAAGGUAGAUGUAGAGGUAGCGUGCCGACGGCGAUCACAUCGACUUUGGAACCAUUCCCAACGUGCAUCGUCACCUCGUCCUUAGCCAAUCUUCGUUUAAUCUGUAGCCCCUGUUUCGAGUUAAAAAUAUGAGCAACCGAACCAGUAUCAAAUACUCAGGCGCUACUAUGAGCAUUAGUAAGGUACACAUCAGUAACAUGUAUAUCGAAUAUACAUUUGUUCAUUUUGCCAUCCUUCUUAUCCGCCAAAUACGUGGGGCAGUUCCGCUUCCACUGACCAGCCCAUUUGCAGUAGAAGCACUCAGUUUCAGGCUUGGGUCCAGCUUUGGGCUUCUUCCCGGGAGUGGCAACUUGCUUGCCAUUUUUCAUGAAGUUUCCCUUCUUUCCCUUGCCCUUUUUCUUAAAACUAGUGGUCUUGUUAACCAUCAACACUUGAUGCUCCUUCUUGAUUUCUACCUUCGCAGCUUUGAAAAUUGCGAAGAGCUCGGGAAUUGUCUUGUCCAUCCCUUACGCAGUGGUCGGUCAUUGAGUCUGACUCAAACUUCACACCUCGUAACACACACAAGAACCCUUUUUGACUAAUCCAUUUUGAAUUUCUUCAUAACUUUAUCAAGGUAUGUGCCUACCUGGCAUGGAUAUCCCCAACACUCUAGGCCGACCCAGUUACCAUUUUAUUGUUUUAAACCCUAAAAAAGGUGUGCACGAUGUGGUUUGAUUCGAGCUCCUCCCGGUUUAGUACUGUCGUGGCUUUGUCACGGCAGAUGUCCUAGAGAAAGGACUUAGUCGUGGAGCCACCGCGACGGGUUAGCUUGAAGGGGUUAAAGUGGACACAGGGACGCAAGAGAGUUUAUACUAGUUCGGCCCCUUCGAUGAAGGUAAAAGCCUACGUCUAGUUGUGAUGGAAUUGAUGGGUUUUCGAUGACUAGGGAGCAAACAAGCUUCACCUAUGUCUUGAGUUGUUAUCUAUCUUCCUGAACCGCCGCCGGGUCGUCCCCUUAUAUACACUGGUGACACCCGUCGGUUCACAGAGUCCCAACACCGGUCGAUAUUCGUAUUCCGGGUUGGUCUCUCCUUAUUCCUAACUUACAAUACAAGUUUAUAUACAAAUCCUGGUUUAUAGCUACAAGUCUUGAACCGGCUACGGGCCUUAGGCCCUCAUCUGCCUUCUUGGGCUUUAUCACUCUUGAACUACUGAUGAAGUUGACCUGGCCCAGAUAGGCCGGUUUACGCCCAGUAGUAAUAUCCCCAACAUUAGGCCCCAAAUUGAUUUGAACGGGUUCAUGUCAAUCCUUUAACAAAAGCUUCAUCUUCAACAUCUUCUCAUAAAUUGGUAAACCGCCAUGAUGUCAUCUUCUCUGAUUGCUGUAAACUGGAGUGACGUCACCUGUCAUAACGAAGCUAUCCAUUAUGCUUCUUUGUUUAAUAGAUCUGCGGAAAUCGAGGCGACAGCUCCGUUUCGUGGCCCCUUGAUUGUCGCGCCUGACACAUGUUCUUUCGCCUUAUAAAUAGGACCGAAGGGUCAUUUCUUUUCUCCCCUUCGUGCCUUUCUUCUUCAUCUUCCUCGCGUCGCCAGCCUCGGAGCUCCGCCGCCGCCGUCGACCUCUGCCUCAACCUUGGCCGCUACAUCAACCUGGGCGCACCAGAGCAUCGCGGCAACCUUCCGCGUCUUCCUCAGCUCCGGUAAAUCUUCUAUCCUUUCCCCCGCAGAUCUGACCUAGGGUUUCACAGUUCUUCAGUGUUCAUCGUCUGCCUCUUGCUCAUACGAUAGAUCUUUAGAUGACUCCGCAAAUCUUUAUUCUGUGCAAUGGUAGCUGUUUACCCUCCGCCUUCACUUACACAUCUCAAAACCAUAGAUCUGUAUGUACGUCUUGCUCAUUGAUUCGGUACUGCUCCCUUUGGACCUCUGAAUAUUUAUCUUUUUUCUGAACUUGCUUUAGAUGCAUCGCUGUAGAGAAAUCUUAUGAAAUCUGUUUCUAUAAACUUACUCAUCUGCUUCAAUGUUUAAACCAGGCGGUUUAACCUUGUAGAAAAAAAUUGCCAAACCGGUAUAUACCAUUAGUCCCCUUGUUGAACCGCUAGAUGUUGUUGCUUCAUAAAACUCCGGUUCAGAUAGAUCUGUCUUCGGUUUAACAUUGCACAUACCAAUGUACCUUGAUCAAAUGCAUUUUUGAACCGGGAUCUUCUACCUUGUAGAUUCCAUCAUGGCCAAACAAGUAUAUGAGUGCAAUUGGGUUCCUUCUCGCAUCACAGAGGCUCAGCUAGACGAUCUAGUCCUGAUCGGCGCUUUAGGCAGCAAAGAUACCAUCCAUUGGAGGGCUCCUGGCAAAGAAUGCCCUCCCACUCCUCAAGAAGGAGAGGUUGUUGUUUUCGUAGAUCACUUAGCUCGGGGCUUUAAGCCGCCCGGUUCUAAAUUUUACCGGGAUGUUUUGGCCGAUUUCCAACUCCAUCCACAAGACACUGGCCCCAUUAUCCCCCAAGUGCCAAGUUGAAUACUUGUAUUGAUCUUGGGACUUUGUAAGCAAUUGAAAGAUGAAGAUCGAAUAUGCAUUAGCCCCCAAGUGCUAAGUGCAUAACUUGUUAUGUGGUUGGUACUUCAAUCCUUGUACCAUUUUGUUGAAGCAUAUAAUUGUCUGCAUGCAGGCGGAGCUGAAGACGAAAGAAAGCCAAGUCGCCGAUCUCCAAGAAAAUCUGAAAACCCAACAAGCUAAAACCUCCAAAGCAAAAGAGGAAUUAGCCAACGCUUUAAGCGCCAUGGAACAGCUUAAGGAGAGCUUCAAGAAGAAGCGGGCGGAUUGGGCCACUGAAAAGUACGCUUUAAUCAAACGAGCAGAGGAUGCCGAGGCUGCACUAAAACCAGUGGCGGAUGAACUGACCAGCAUAAAGCGGCACGUGCAUGCCAUGACUACUGCUAUCUUUGGUAAGCCAGUUUGACUUCUGAAUUGGCUCUGCCUUCUUACAGAGUUGCCGGUUUAUCAACCCUUUAUGGUAUUUCAGGGACACGCAUUGGUCACUUGGGGUCAGAUGUGCGGAAGAAACUGAAAGCCGCCUAUACAUUGGUUGAACAAUUGUAUACUGGUGCCCAGCAGAUCAUCUGUACCGCACCCAUAACAAACCGGCGCCCACUUUGAUUCAAGACACUCUGAUGAAACUGUCGGUGCUUCAUGCCCGGGUUGAAGAGCUGAAGAAAUCUGCUGCUCGAACCGGUGCGAUCAAUGCCUUAAUCCGGGCAAAAGCCUGGGUGCCGGAUUUUGAUCCUAUUGAAGCGGCUCAGGGCUAUCCCAGCUUGAAGGAAGACGGGUCAGAGUUUGGUGAAGCGGAUCUGCGAGCAAUAAACCGGGAGGUACGUCCGCUAGCUUGUCAAUUGGCUGAAGAAGCAGACUUGUCUCAUUAUCAAGCCCAAUAAGACAAUCAGAAUAAGCGAAUAGCUGCACCAAUCCAUGAAUCAGAAAAUCUGAUCCCUCCAAUCCGUAAGCAUACUUACGCUCCCGAUAUUGACCCGUCCUUGCUGAGGGUCCCUAUGUCGGUGCAAUGACGCUUCAUCCGUCCCAAUUUCAACUUCAGGGGCCCAAACUGGCAGUUGCCUUCUAGGGUUAAUACUGCGGUGUCAGCGUUGAUGCGGUCUGAGGAGUGCAACACUUGUGAAACCCGGCGCACCCAAUGAGUCGUUGACUCUCCUUCCUCCUGGACGCAUGCAGCUAAGUCCACUAUCGACAUAGGCUGUUUACAGGUAUCCUUGAAAUUGUUGAUAAACCGGGCUCGUAAUUGGGCCCAUGAACUGAUAGAAUUAGCGGGCAAGCUUUUUAAACAAGUACGGGCCGUUCCUUCAAGCAUCAUGGUGAAGUAUUUCGCACAUGCCGUUUCAUCCACAUCAAGCAUCUCCAUGGCCAUCUCAUAGCUCUCUACCCAUGUCUCUGGUGGUUGAUCCGCCGUAUAAUUUGGUACCUUGCGUGGGCCUUUGAAAUCCUUGGGCAAGCGCACGUUGCGUAAAGCGGGGACGAGGCAAGGCACCCCCAAAGAACUAGAAGUAACACCAGGUUCGAUCGAAAUGGUUGGAUGAACCGGCGUGAGCUGCCGAGCCUGAUGUUGUGCGGCUAACUCGGCCUCCCUACGCGCUCGGGCCCGGUUCACCACUUCCUGAGCGUCAUCAGCACCACCCGUCGGGUUGUUGUCCCGGGGUGCCCCACGUUGUUCAUUACUCGACACUGUCGGUUCAUCCAUAUGUCUGCUAUAGCUCUGGCUUGGAUGAGGGGUCGAGUGGAUUCGGUCGCGGUUGUACGAGUAUGCUUCCUGUUGGGCCAAAGUGGUCCUCAGAAGUUCCUUGACCCGCCGUGUCUCUACUGCCUGUGGCGAGUCACCUUCAAUUGGAAUGGCCUCCAGCCGUGCAGCAGCGGCAACAAGAUUGUCCAUUGGGCUGGAGUAGUGACCCGGGGGUGUUAAAGCAGCCUGAGGCACAACGGUGUUUUGACGAGGCUGAACCGGUGCACCGGUCCUAGGGGCUUCUGCCCGGUUCCCCUCCAGCGGAUUGCCGGCUCUUGGCCCUGGAGUGUUGAAAAGGUCUCUGGCCUUGAAAACCGGAGGUAAGCGGGACCGGUGCUUCCUCCUCAUGACUUCAUGUGAUGCGCUCUAGUCUAGCAUAAGCCUGCAAGCCUGUGCGUCUAAAGCAGCCCGCUCUGCGGCCAUCCUGGUGUCCUCAGCCGCCAGAUCCGCCUUGGCAUGGGUGAUCUGUUCCUUUACCUUUGCAAUCUCCGUAUUGUGAACAUGCUGAUCUGGCGGAUUAACUUCCAUCAUAAGCACAGCCAACGCAUCAAACAGCUCUGAUAGAACUUGAGCCGGCGGGCGCACAGGGCCUCCUGCCCCGGCGGCCGUUGCUGCUGCUGAACCGGAAAUCGUUGCCGCAGCUGUCGAAGAAUGAAGCGCUGCUUGUGUUCCGGCCAUGAAUACUCCAACCCGGUUAGGCAGAUUAGAGGGGUCCGGAAUACUGUCGCCAUCGGAACAGCUCCCAAUCCGGCCAUCUUGUAGCUGAUAAAGAUAUUCAGUUUCUCCGGUCGAAGAUUCGUCACCGGAACAAAUGACAGUCGCCCCGCGAAAUCCCGAUCCGUCCUCAUGACUUCCUCCAUGGAUGACUCCCACGAAGGCACGCUUCAUGGCCGGUUUAACCCGGGCGGAUUGCGCACGCUGAGCCGUCUCGACGAGGUCGGUGCAGAUGUCCGGCUCAGGGCCCGGUUCACCGAUCUUCCCAAUGAAAACGUGAAUGCUACCAAAGGGGACCCGGUACCCGUACUCAACUGUGCCAGUCUCGGGGCCCCAGCCUACAUCGUCGAUGUAGAGCCUGCCGCGACGACUCUUAGUCAUCCGGCCUACAGCAUAGCCCUCGAGUCCUUCAAAGAGGCCCUCCAAGAACCGGAAACCAUCAUGAGAUAGCCCCACGGUGGGUGCCAACUGUCGUGGUUUUGUCACGGCAGAUGUCCUAGAGAAAGGACUUAGUCGUGGAGCCAUCGCUAUGGGUUAGCUUGAAGGGGAUAAAGCGGACACAAGGACGCAAGAGAGUUUAUACUAGUGCGGCCCCUUCAAUGAAGGUAAAAGCCUACUUCUAGUUGUGAUGGAAUUGAUGGGUGUUUCGAUGACUAGGGAGCGAAUAAGCUUCGCCUAUGUCUCGAGUCGUUGUCUGUCGUCUUUGAACCGCCGCUGGGUCGUCCCCUUAUAUACAUGGGUGACGCCUGCCGGUUCAGAGAGUCCCAACACUGGUUCAUACUCGUAUCUGGGUUGGUCUCUCCUUGUUCCUAACUCAUAUUACAAGUAUGUGCACAAAGCUGAUGUACGGCUACAGGUUGUAAACAGACUACAGGCCCUGGGCCUUUAUCUGCCUCUUUGGGCUUUAACACCUUUGAACUACUGAUGGAGUUAAUCCGGCCCAGGUAGGCCGGUUUAUGCCCAGUAGUAAUAUCCCCAACAAUACUUGUGACAUUGAUCACAUCGUUGGUUUACCAACUUCUCUUUUUUAGUAAGGGUGAUAACCCAAAUCUUGAGUAUGAUAACUCCCGUCAUAUUUUGCCGGUUUGUAAUAAAACCGUGUCGGGUUGUAAUAAACACCGGAUAAUCAUCCUGGCAACUUAUAGUCAAUGCCAGACCGGGCUAAGAAAAACUCCGGUUUAUAAUUGAGUUUGUACUAACAACUGAUAGUUGAAAGCUUGUGCCAGGUUAAGAAACACCGGACUGAUGAAAUGACUUAUAGUCUGGCCGGGUCAAUGGACGCCGGUUUACCUUAAAACCUUAUCGAAGGAGAAGAAACUUUGAUAAAAAUCAAAUGAAAAAAACUUGUAGUCGAGGCUUUUCAAGGGCUACCAGGCCCAAACUCGAGGCUUUUCAUGGGCUGCCAGGCCGCUGAGUUAAACCAUUUGACAAAGCCUUUUAAGAUGGGCCUCCAACUAACCAAUCGUCGUUUUAACUUUCACAAGUUCAGGGUCUGUAUAAGAGUAACUUGUCAAACGUUCAGCGGGUCAUGCCAGGAUUACCUGGAUAGGAGUGGCUUACUUGAUGAAGGCAGGUUAACCCGGGGUUUUAGGUGAAUACACCAUGCUUCCAAGCCGUGGGUCGAUACACAAUUACAAGGGUCCUUUCAAACUCUUUGUUACUUUACACAAAGAGCCCCCAAGUAACUUUGUGAGUUGUGCUCAAUGGGUGCCUAUGUUUGAGUUGUGCAUAGCAACAAGACUCUCUUUGGCCCCUUGGGUGUGAAGCUCCCAAGCUUUGUUGUGGCAUGAUAGCCGGAUUAAUGGACAGGACUCCGCUUUGCAAGCAGAAGCUCCCAUGUGAUAUAUUUCUGAGUUGUGCUCGCCGGGUGCCUAUGUUUGAGUUGUGGUGUGCAACAAACUCUCUUUGGCCCCUGAUGAUAAUAUUGUCUUGAUAGCCGCAUCAAGAGGGUAGUAACGCCAUGUUCUCUUAGGUGAAUACACCUAUGUUUGAACAGGAAGCCCCCAAGUAAUCAUAUGAAGAUGAGCCCAUAAGGCAGGACACCCAUGUUUGAACCGCGCGUCAGGGCAGCAGGUCCUCUUGGGCAACCUUUAACUUUUUGCAAGAGAUAAAUUCUUCUUGAACCGGACGUUAAACCGGAUAUUGAGAGCUUCAAAGCUUUGUGGGAGACAUCUUUCCCUUGAACCGGAUUUUAAACCGGAAUCUUCAUUUUCAGCCGGAAAUUUUCUGACGGCCUUUAAACUCGAACUUGCGAGAAGUUAAUUCCUUUUUGAACCGGGCAUUUUUAAACCGGAUUUGAGAGCUUCAGAGCUUUGCAAGAGAUAGUUUCCUCUUAAACCGGAUUUGAACCAGAUACUAAGGGCUUCUCGCUGUGUGGGAGACGGGAUUCCCCUUAAACCGGAUAAUAAACCAGAAGCAUCAUUGUGAGCCGGAAUAUUUCUGACGGCCUUUAAAUUUUCACCAAUAUAACAGUAGCCUCCGGGACCGAGUUAUCUUUCUCUUCAACGUCCUGGGGCACUUGAAUUUGCUGAAACUGGCAAGACUUGCUGCGUCAUAUCAUCAUAGCCUCCGAGUCUUAAGAUGACUCAAGGAGUUGUCUUGAGAUUCUCCGUACUUGACCAUAGCAGAAGGUAAAAAUCAUCGGUGUUAACGACGCGAUAUAAAUCCAUAGAAGGUUGAGGUGACUGUGGCGGGUUAUAAAUGAUCCCGUAUGAACCGUGUCAGCAACUCGGCCAAUGGUUCCUUCCAAUUGGCUGUUUGAAGUUGACCAAACUGUAGUGACAGCGAUUUGUGUCCAUUGAACCAUCCAGCGCAGAUGGCGGCUAAUGAUAACUUGCCUCCAAUUUGCUGAAAGAAAACCGGGCUGUCCAAGUUGUGACUUGCUCAUACGCAAUAAAUAGCUCAUGCAGACAGGUGCGGCCCGGUGUGUUGAUGUAGACCAGACCGCAAGGGCGGCAGCGCAAGCACUUCCAUUGAGCACGGUAGCACAGAUAAAUGUUAGUGCAACAUGACGAUGGUAUGCACUCCAUAUCCGCGAUAUAACUCCACUUCAAUGGUGAAUAAUUGUCCUGAUGUAUUUGGAUGACAGAUAAUCUUGUCGUCUCUGCCAUGAUCAUGGAAAAAAUAUUAAAAGGAGGACAAUUGUUCCCGGGGGAACUUAAAGUAUAUUGAAAAAAUAAAUAAGGUGGAUAGCACCUGAUCUUUUCCUGGGACGUCGAGCCAAUCAUGUCCGUCAGUUGGUUUUUUUUUCAACUCUCUAUCCUACUGGUCGCGCACAGAGGUGGAGCGAAGGAGAGCUCAGGCGCACGCCUCGGUGGUGGUUUAAGGCUGCAGCAAGAGCGCUCCAAGCCGGCUCCAAGCAGGAUGGGUCGCAGCUGCGGCAGGUUAUGGCGUAGGCGUGGCAGCUCUCUGCGGCGACUUUGCGGUAGACAGCAAGGCAGAGGCCAGCAGACCGGCUCGGGUUAUGCCAGCGGAAGUGAACCGGCGAGGCGAGGUGAGGAGAGCCGCGCAGACGGGCGCUUGUUGAGGCAAUAAGUAAUGAAAUCAGCCUUGACGUAAUUGAUCUGAUAGUGUACUUUGCUUCUAGUCUCUAGCAUCUCAUCAACCUGCUGUAAAUUGAAUAAUAUACUUGCCCACUAGGACUCCUGCUCCAUCAUUGUCGGAAGACUAGACUUCCAAUCAUUAUGCAUGCAUGCACUGCUUCAUUACCCUCCGACUGAAAGCCCCAAUUUCCUUUUUGUUUUGUACUGGCGAGACAAAACCUCACCAGCAGGGGCACCUUGUCAAAGCGGAGGCGAGUCAUGACCGAAGAAAACAGCAGGAAUGACUGCCCGAGGCAUCUCAAGGCGGAGGCUACUUGAGACCGCGCACACAGCUGUUUGACGAAAGUGGCAGAAGCAUAACUGUGGAUGCGGGCGGUAACAACAGAAAAACCGGCAGGCAAAUGGCGACUUGAAGCACCCAAUGCCGCAGUACAGCGAUUCAGCGGAGGCCUGAGGCAAAAAACGGCGGCUCGGCAUGCAGUCAUUUGACCUGGCAGUGGUGGCAGUGUCAGCGGAGUAGUGCGGGGCGGUUUGACGGCAGUAACUGAAGCCCGGUCGUGGGGACGACGGCGGGGGCGCUCCAGUGGCGUUUUGAGGGAAAACCGUGGCGACUCGGGGCGGUUCUGGGCCAGCGGCAGUGGAGUAAGGUGGAGGGCUGGCGAUUUGAGCGGCUCGGAAGGCCGGGUAACGCCACAUCGGCGGGUCAGAGCUAGCGCGGAACGCGGCCGUCUAAUCAGCCCCGACGGCGGGAGCGGCAACUCGCAGGUGAGGCGGAGCCCUUGGCGACUCAUGACAGUAGUUCGGCAGACUGGGUCGCAGUAGGGGAGGUGACUCCCCGCGACGGUUCAAGCGCCAUAGAAGACGGCCGGUUUGACGAAGUGGUGCAGCGGUUUAAGCAGACGACCAUCAGCUUGGAGCUGGAGCCAGCUUGACUCAUCGGGGUCAAUCACAACAUCAGCAUGGUAGGCGGAGGAGACGGCCUGGAGCGGAGACGGCCUGAAGCUGAGUGAGUCAUCGUAGAGAGGCACGCUGUAUCCCCCUUCGGGCCGUGGCCGUACACACUUUCCUAGCCAUGGUUAUCUUUUUGAUCUGACUCCAACUAGUAUUGACCGCCGUGAGUGCUCCAAAUCAAUCUAGCUUUUGCGCACCCAUUUUUUUUGCGGGUCGUGGAUUUCUUCUUUUGCACACCAGAACAGCAACAAUUGAUGGGACUUCGGACGGCAGCAUGCGCCCCCUUUUUUAACUUCAGAUCUGUCUCGCGAACAGCCAGCCCCCUGUAUCUUCCUCCUCCAUCUGUCUGCUGGUCUUACAAACGCAGCAGUGGGCAUGGCAGGCGACCGGCGAACCAGGAGCAGCAAACCAGCAAAAAAUGAAGCAAGAGCAAAAACACGGCAGCCUGCAGCACGCCAGGCUGGUCUGGAUGUGGGGCGCCGGCGGUUUGGAAGUGAGCAUGAGGCAAGGCCACGCUGGUGAAGGCGGCUUAGAAGCGAAGCCCGUUGGAGUGGCGGUUUAACGCGAGGCCGAUGUAAUAGGGGCGGGUUGAAAUCAACGAUGGUUCACCGCAGCUCGUGCAAAAACCGGGCGAGGGCGAGACCUCAAGGGCGGCUCGCACCAGGGAGGCUCGGUACAGCCACUGUGAAACCACAGCGGAGCAGGAGAGGCAUCUGAGUGCCGAGAUGAACUGGUAAGAUCCGGCACGGCGCGGCAAGGUUGAGUAAGAGGCGAUCGGCAGUGAUGGCCAGUGCGACUGCGGGGCUGUUUCACGGAGAGGUACCAUGGCAGCGGCAGCAAGCGGCUCGGAGCAAGCAGAAGGCAACCCCGAGGCGGAGGCAACUCAGGGCGCGGGAGACCCGGCAGGGCGCAGCAGCGAGGUGGAGGCAGCUGCAUGACCGGGCGGCUCAGAGCGCGGGAGGCCGAGCGCGGAGGCCGCAUCGGCGGCUUGGUGUGCCGGCAGAGGCCGUUACUGCAGAACGGCGCGCCGGCCGUGGUUGAAUCGCAGCAGCGGUCUGUAGGUGUAUUGGAGACAAACCGGAGUCAACGGCGACGACUGGCCCGGCCGCGAUAGGAGAGGCCGUAGUGGCUCGGAACAAACGAGCGGUUCAAGGGCGCAGACGCAGUCGAUGGAUGAGUCCGAGUUACGGACGGCUCUGUUUCCUUUUCUUGACUUUUUUCCUUGACUUUGCUUUUAGCACAUCCGACCCUUUAAUAGUUUCGAUGUCUAUCUUGUCUUCAACUCGGUUUCGCUGCAUCAUCCAGACGUAGAGGCGCGUACUACUGCAUAACUCCAGCUUUAAUCCAAAAGCAAUGAUUUAUUGGCUCUGCCUAUGGCUAUUCCAUGCCGGUUUAUUUUGUGUAAUUUCCUCUGUGCCGGUUCAACUGAUUAAUCAUGAGCUUCUCGAUCCCUCGGAGAGAUCCCUCCAAGAACUCAACACCACCGUGCGCCAGCGCCACGGUGGGCGCCAACUAUCGUGGAAUUGUCACGUCAGAUGUCCUAGUGUGAGGACUUAGUCAUGAGGCCAACGCAUCUAUGUGGUAGCUUGAGAGGGGUUGAGUGGAAUCGAGAGACGCAACGCAAGACAAAGGUUUAGACAGCUUCGGGCCCCGGGAAACAUCAUCCGGUAACAACCCUACAUGCUGUUUGAGGCUAGGUCUCAUUAUCAUCACGAGGGAGUCGCCGUAAACCGGCUCUCCUCUUUGUGUCUAGCCCUAAGAUUGUUUCAUCUUGCUUGUAGCCUGCCCCUCUUUGAGGAGCCCUACCCCUCCUUAUAUAUGUUGAAGGGGCGGGUUACAUGUAGAGUCCAUCUCGGACUAAGACUUAAACUAUUUUGACUUCCCUUCCUGGGCUUCUUAACGUCUGCCGGUUUAACAUUGUCUGUCGGUUUAACAUUGUCUGCCGGUUUGACAUUGUCCACCGGUUUAACAUUGUCCCCGACACCACUGGCUGACAAUCAUCUCUGGAUCCCACUGGUAAUUAGACUGUCGUGAAGGAUCAACUUGUGGUUCUGGCUCUGGCUCCUCGGCUGGUGCAGGGUUCCGGUAGGCAUGAAUAGCCUUCAACGGAACAAGGUACGUGCCUGAAGAUAAAUCAAACAAAGAAGGAGCAGGCAGGGUAAUAGUCUCAGGAUGAUGUUUAUUAAAGAACAAUUGAUAUUUAAGCUCUCCUUCCCUGUUCUUAACAAUAAAAUUAUGUGCCACCAUACUUGUAUAAUCUAGAUAAACACGAGGCAGCACCUUUUCUUCCUUCUCAAAAUGCUUAAUAGGUAUGUUAAAAUGUGCAGCUAGGCGUGAAGCAUAGAUGCCUCCAAAGAUGGGGCCUUUGGUAGGUUCCGACUUAACCGUUUAGCAAUAAUUCCGCCCAUACUAAAAGUGUUAUCACUGUUAAACCGUGGAGCAGAAUAAUAAUAUCAGGGAUGCUAAGGUUUCCACAGUUUCCGCGACCAAUUAAGCAACGACUAGAAAAUAAUGCAAAAUAACGUAAAACAGGAAAAUGUAUGCUAGUGAUUCAUGCAUCGGAAACCUUCCUUGUUUCCCCUACAGUGAUAGUAUCAAUAAACCCCUCCACAUCGUCGUGAUGUGGUUCUUCUGUCUUGCCCUCAAAAGGGACUAAACAAGUCCGACAAAAAUCAUAAAGUGACAUCUCCUUAUGCUCAUCAUAUAAAUGAAACUCCACCGUAGGUGGCGAGUUCCUAGAAUAGAAAUGAAAGUUUUGCACAAAGGUAUUUGUGAGUAAGAGAUACUGAUCGCAUUGGUCAUGGAGGAAAGCGAUGAGGCCUGUAUUCUUAGCCAUUUCAUGAAAAUCUUCAUAAAUACCGGCUGCUCUCAAGAAAUAAUCGGAAGGCCAUUCAUACGCCCGAACCUCCAUGGUGCGCGGCAAAUUAUACUUAGGCUUCAGUGCCUUUUCCUUCGAGCUUUGGCUCGAUGAGCCCCUCAAUAGUCUCCUCAUCAUUUUCUGAAAAAUUCUGAAAUUUUUAGUAACUUCAAAAUAAAAGUAAACCAAACUCAAUAAUAUUGAUAGCAACUACUCCUACAAGUGCCUGGGGCCUAUAUCAUGCAUCAAAACUACUUUUGACCAUAUAAAUUUGACAUGCAAGCUCAAGAACAGGGUCACCUAAGCAGCAAAAUUUUGCAAUGAAUAAAGCACUAGAACAAAAACUAAUUGGACCAAUGGAGGAGUCACAUACCAAGGAACAAUCUCCCCAAGCAGUUUUGUGAGAGGUGCUUUGAGUAAGGAGAUCGAAAAUGGCAGCAAAACGAGCUAGAACUCGUGCUUAAGCUGGAUAUUUGUGUUUGUGGGAGGAAGAAGUGUGUGGGUGCAGGAAUAAGUGGAGGAGGGCCACCAUGGGCCCACGAGGCAGGGGGCGCACCCAGGGGCAGGGCGCACCCUCCACCCUCGUGGGCAGGUGGUUGACCCCCCUGUUGUGUUCUCAGUGCCAAAUAUUCUCAAAUAUUCUAGAAAAAUCAUAUUUAAAUUUCAAGGCAUUUGGAGAACUUUUAUUUUCAGGGUAUUUUUAUAUUGCAUGGAUAAUCAGAUAACAGACAGAAAAAUAUUUAUUUUUAUUUUAUUUAAUAUAAAUAACAGAAAGUAAAAGUGGGGUACAGAAGGUUGUGCUUUUUAGUUUCAUCCAUCUCAUGGUCAUCAAAAGGAAUCCACUAACAAGGUUGAUCAAGUCUUGUUAACGAACUCAUUCCGAAUAACAUGGAACCGGAGAAAUUUCGAAUAACAUUAUGUUACCUCAACGGGGAUAUGCGCAUCCCAAUAAUAAUAAUAUCAUAUUUCUUCUUGACAGUAGGAAGAGGAAAUUCAAAACCUCUAAAUAUAAUCGAUGGAAUUUUUCCAAUAGAGUUGAUACUGUCAACUUGAGGUUGUUUCCUCGGAAAGUGUACUGUAUGCUCAUUACCAUUAACAUGAAAAGUGACAUUGCCUUUAGUGCAAUCAAUACAGCCCCUGCAGUAUUCAAAAAGGGUCUUCCAAGAAUAAUAGACAUACUAUCGUCCUCGGGAAUAUCAAGAAUAACAAAGUCCGUUAAAAUAGUAACGUUUGCAUCUACAACAUGCACAUCCUCACAAAUACCGAUAGGUAUAGCAGUUGAUUUAUCAGCCAUUUGCAAAGAUAUUUCAGUAGGUGUCAACUUAUUCAAAUCAAGUCUAUGAUAUAAAGAGAGAGGCAUAACACUAACACCGGCUCCAAUAUCACACAAAGCAGUUUUAACAUAAUUUCUUUUAAUGGAGCAUGGUAUAGUGGGUACUCCUGGAUCUCCAAGUUUCUUUGGCAUUCCACCCUUAAAAGUAUAAUUAACAAGCAUGGUGAAAAUUUUAGCUUUCGGUAUCUUUCUUUUAUUUGUAAUGAUAUCUUUCAUGUACUUAGCAUAAGGAUUGGUUUUGAGCAUAUCAGUUAAUCGCAUACGCAAAAAGAUAGGUCUAAUCAUUUCAGCAAAGCGCUCAAAAUCCUCAUCAUCCUUUUUCUUGGAUGGUUUGGGAGGAAAAGGCAUGGGUUUCUGAACCCAAGGCUCUCUUUCUUUACCAUGUUUCCUAGCAACAAAGUCUUUCUUAUCAUAACGUUGAUUCUUUGAUUGUGGGUUAUCAAGAUCAAUAGCAGGUUCAAUUUCUACAUCAUUAUCAUUACUAGGUUGAGCAUCAUUAUGAACAUUAUUAUUAGCAUUAUCACUAGUUUCAGGUUCAUUACCAGAUUAAGUUUCAGCAUCAGAAAUAGAAAUAUCAUUUGGAUUCUCAGGUGUUUCAGUAAUAGGUUCACUAGAAGCAUGCAAAGUCCUAUCAUUUUUCUUUUUCUUCUUUUUAGAAGAACUAGGUACAUCUAUAUUAUUUCUCUAAGAAUCUUGCUCAAUUCUCUUAGGGUGGCCUUCAGGAUACAAAGGUUCCUGAGUCAUUCUACCAGUUCUAGUAGCCACUCUAACAGCAUUAUCAUUAUCUUUACUAUUCAAUUCACUGAGCAAAUCAUUUUGAGCUUUAAGUACUUGUUCUACUUGAGUGGUAGCCAUAGAAGCAUGUUUACUAAUAAGUUUAAGUUCACCUUUAACAUUAGCCAUAUAAUCACCCAAGUGUUCAAGCAUAUUUAAAUUGUAUUUCAAUUGUCUACCAAAAUAAGCAUUAAAAUCUUCUUGCUUAGCCAUAAAUUUAUCAAACUCAUCUAAGCAUGGGCUAGCAAACUUAGUGAAUGGGAUUUCAGCUUUAUCAUAUCUAUAGAGAGAAUUUACCUUUACUACCUGUGUCGGGUUAUCAAGACCAUGAGUUUCUUCAAUAGGUAAAGGAUUAAGAUCAUAUGUUUCUUCAACAGGCGGUAAAUUAAGACCAUGUAUUUCUUCAAUAGGAGGUAAAUUCUUAACAUCUUCAGCUUUAAUACCUUUUUCUUUCAUAGAUUUCUUUACCCCUUGCAUAUCUUCAGGACUGAGAAAUAGAAUACCCCUCUUCUUCGGAGUUGGUUUAGGAAUAGGCUCAGGAAUUGGCUCCGGCGGUGUCCACUUAUUUUCAUUUGUCAACAUAUUGUUUAAUAAAAUUUUAGCUUCAUCCGGUGUUCUUUCCCUGAAAACAGAACCAGCACAACUAUCCAGGUAAUCUCUGGAGGCAUCGGUUAGUCCAUUAUAAAAGAUAUCAAGUAUUUCAUUUUUCUUAAGAGGAUGAUCAGGCAAAGCAUUAAGUAAUUGGAGAAGCCUCCCCCAAGCUUGUGGGAGACUCUCUUCUUCAAUUUGCACAAAAUUAUAUAUAUAUAUAUAUAUAUAUAUAUCCCUUAAAGCAGCUUGUUUCUUAUAAGCAGGAAAAUAUCUAGUAGAGAAGUAAUAAAUCAUAUCCUGGGAACUACGCACACAACCAGGAUCAAGAGAAUUAAACCAUAUCUUAGAAUCACCCUUUAAUGAGAAUGAAAAUAUUUUAAGGAUGUAAAAGUAACGAGUUCUCUCAUCUUUAGUGAACAGGGUGGCUGUAUCAUUCAAUUUAGUAAGAUGUGCCACAACAAUUUCAGAUUCAUAACCAUGAAAAGGAUCAAAUUCAACCAAAGUAAUUAUAUCAGGAUCAACAGAGAAUUCAUAAUCCUUAUCAGUAACAAAGAUGGGUGAAGUAGCAAAAGCAGGGUCAGGUUUCAUUCUAGUAUUUAGAGAUUGCUUACUCCAUUUAGCUAAUAACCUUUUGAGUUCAUUUCUAUUUUUGCAAGCUAAAAUAGCGAAAGAAGCUUCUUGAUCAAAAACAUAACCCUUAGGAAUAACAAGUGAUUCUUCAUCAUCACUUUCAUCAGUAUCAUCAGAUUCAAUAUUUUCAAUCUCUCUAGCCCUAGCAAGUUGUUCAUCAAGAAAAUCACUAAGUGGCACAGUAGUAUCAGGCAUAGAGGUAGUUUCAUCAUAAGUAUCAUGCAUAGCAGAAGUGGCAUCAUCAAUAACGUGCGACAUAUCAGAACAAAUAGCAGAAGCAGGUGUAGGUGUCGCAAGCUUACUUAAAACAGAAGGUGAAUCAAGUGCAGAGCUAGAUGGCAGUUCCUUACCUCCCCUCGUAGUUGAGGGAUAAAUCUUGGUUCUUGGAUCUUUCAAGUUCUUCAUAAUGAUAAGCAGAUAUAUAUCCCAAGUGACUCAAAGAAUAGAGCUAUGCUCCCCGGCAACGGCACCAGAAAAUAGUCUUGAUAACCCACAAGUAUAGGGGAUCGCAACAAUUUUCGAGGGUAAAGUAUUCAACCCAAAUUUAUUGAUUCGACACAAGGGGAGCCAAAGAAUAUUCUCAAGUAUUAGUAGUUGAGUUGUCAAUUCAACCACACCUGGAAACUUAAUAUCUGCAGCAAAGUGUUUAGUAGCAAAGUAAUAUGAUAGUAGUGGUAACGGUAGCAAAAGGUAACAGUAAUAAAAGUAAUGUUUUUGGUAUUUUGUAGUGAUGAUAGCAAUAGCAACGGGAAAGUAAAUAAGCGAAGAACAUAUAAUAGGCAAUGGAUCAGUAAUGGAGAAUUAUGCCAGAUGCGGUUCAUCAUGUAACAGUCAUAACCUAGGGUGACACAGAACUAGCUCCAGUUCGUCAAUGUAAUGUAGGCAUGUAUUCCGAAUAUAGUCAUACAUGCUUAUGGAAAAGAACUUGCAUGACAUCUUUUGUCCUACCCUCCCGUGGCAGCGGGGUCCUUACGGAAACUAAGGGAUAUUAAGGCCUCCUUUUAAUAGAGAACCGGAACAAAGCAUUAACACAUAGUGAAUACAUGAACUCCUCAAAGUACGGUCAUCACCAGUAAGUAUCCCGAUUAUUGUCACUUCGGGGUUAACGGAUCAUAACACAUAAUAGGUGACUAUAGACUUACAAGAUAGGAUCAAGAACACUCAUAUAUUGAUGAAAACAUAAUAGGUUCAGAUCUGAAAUCAUGGCACUUGGGCCCUAGUGACAAGCAUUAAGCAUAGCAAAGUCAUAGCAACAUCAAUCUUAGAACAUAGUGGACACUAGGGAUCAAACCCUAACAAAACUAACUCGAUUACAUGAUAGAUCCCAUCCAACCCAUCACCGUCCAGCAAGCCUAUGAUGGAAUUACUCACGCACGGUGGUGAGCAUCAUGAAAUUGGUGAUGGAGGAUGGUGAUGAUGACGAUGGCGACGGAUUCCCCUCUCCGGAGCCCCGAACGAACUCCAGAUCAGCCAUCCCGAGAGGUUUUAGGGCUUGGCGGCGGCUUCGUAUCGUAAAACGCGAUGAUUUCUUCUCCCUGGUUUUCUCUCUCUCCGAAACUCAAUAUAUGGAGUUGGAGUUGGAGUCGGAGAGGCAACAGGGGGCCCACGAGGUAGGGGGGCACGCCCCCACCCUCGUGGACAGGUGGUGGGCCCCUGGCCUUCAUCUUUUGUAGGUAUUUUUCAUAUUUUCUGAGAAGUGGCUCCGUGAAGUUUCAGGUCAUUCCGAGAACGUUUGUUCCUGCACAUAAAUAACACCAUGGUAAUUCUACUGAAAACAACGUCAGUCUGGGUUAGUUCCAUUCAAAUCAUGCAAGUUAGAGUCCAAAACAAGGGCAAAAGUGUUUAGAAAAGUAGAUACGUUGGAGACGUAUCAUUUGUCUAUGUAUUCACACAUGUAUUUGGGUUUCUGGUCAAUACAAUUCUAGCAUGAAUAAUAGACAUUUAUCAUGAAUAAUAAGGAAAUAUAAAAUAAAAACUUUAUUAUUGCCUCUAGGGCAUAUUUCCUUCAGUCUCCCACUUGCACCAGAGUCAAUAAUCUAGAUUACAUUAUAGUGAUUUUAACACCCAUGGUGUCUUGGUGCUGAUCAUGUUUUGCUCGUGGAAGAGGCUUAGUCAACGGGUCUGCUACAUUCAGAUAUGUAUGUAUUCUGCAAAUCUCUAUGUCUCCAUCCUCGACUUGAUCACGGAUGGAGUUGAAGCGUCUCUAGAUGUGUUUGGUUCUUUCAUGAAAUCUGGAUUCCUUCGCUAAGGCAAUUUCUCCAGUAUUGUCACAAAAGACUUUCAUUGUACCCGAUGCACUAGGUAUUACACCUAUAUCGGAUAUGAACUCCUUCAUUUGUUGCUUCUAAAGCAUCUAUGUACUCUGCUUCACAUGUAGAUCCCGCCAUGACGCUCUGAUUGGAACUACACCAACUAACAUCUCCACCAUUCAAUAGAAAUACAUAUCGGUUUUGUGACUCAGAGUCAUCCGGAUCAGUGUCAAAACUAGCAUCGACGUAACCGUUUAUGAUGAGCUCUUUGUCACCUCCAUAAACGAGAAAUAUACCCUUAGUCCUUUUCAGGUACUUCAGGAUGUUCUUGACCAUUGUCCAGUGAUCCACUCCUGGAUUAAUUUGGUACCUCCCUGCUAAACUUAUAGCAAGGCAUACAUCAGGUCUAGUACACAUCAUAGUAUACAUGAUAGAACCUAUGGCUGAGGCAUAGCGAAUGACUUUCAUUUUCUCUCUAUCUUCUGAAGUGGUCGGGCAAUGAGUCUGACUCAACUUCACACCUUGUAACACAUGCAAGAACCCUUUCUUUGACUGUUCCAUUUUGAACUUCUUCAAAACUUUAUCAAGGUAUGUGAUUUGUGAAAAUCCUAUUAAGCGUCUUAAUCUAUCUUUAUAGAUCUUGAUGCCCAAUAUAUAAGCAGCUUCACCGAGGUCUUUCAUUGAAAAACAAUUAUUCAAGUAUCCUUUUAUGCCAUCCAGAAAUUCUAUAUCAUUUCCAAUCAACAAUAUGUCAUCCACAUAUAAUAUUAGAAAUGCUACAAAGCUCCCACUCACUUUAUUGUCAAUACAAGCUUCUCCAAAAGUCUGUAUAAAACCAUAUGCUUUGAUCACCUCAUCAAAGCGUAUAUUCCAACUCUGAGAUGCUUGCACCAGUCCAUAGAUGGAUCGCUGGAGCUUGCACACUUUGUUAUCACCUUUAGGAUUGACAAAACCUUCUGACUACAUCAUAUACAACUCUUCUUUAAGAAAUCCAUUAAGGGAUGCAGUUUUGACGUCCAUUUGCCAGAUUUCAUAAUCAUAAAAUGCGGCAAUUGCUAACAUGAAUCGGACAGACUUAAGCAUCGAUACAUGUGAGAAAGUCUCAUCGUAGUCAACUCCUUGAACUUGUCGAAAACCUUUUGCGACAAGUCAAGCUCUGUAGACAGUAACAUUACCAUCAGCGUCAGUCUUCUUCUUGAAGAUCCAUUUAUUCUCUAUGGCUCGCCGAUCAUCGGGCAAGUCCACCAAAGUCCAUACUUUGUUCUCAUACAUGGAUCCUAUCUCAGAUUUCAUGGCCUCAAGCCAUUUAUCGAAAUCUGGGCUCGUCAUAGCUACUUCAUAGUUCGUAGGUUUGUCAUGGUCUAGUAACAUGACUUCCAGAACAGGAUUACCGUACCACUCUGGUGCGAAUCGUGCUCUGGUUGACCUACAAGGUUCAGUAGUAACUUGAUCCGAAGUUUCCUGAUCAUUAUCAUUAGCUUCCUCUCUAAUUGGUGUAGGCAUCACGAGAACGGUUUUCUGUGAUGAGCUACCUUCCAAUUCGAGAGAAGGUACAAUUACCUCAUCAAGUUCUACUUUCCUCCCACUCACUUCUUUCGAGAGAAACACCUCUAGAAAGUUUCAAUUCUUGGCAACAAAGAUCUUGCCUUCGGAUUUGUGGUAGAAGGUGUACCCAAUUGUUUCUUUAGGGUAUCCUAUGAAGACACACUUCUCCGAUUUGGGUUGGAGCUUAUCAGGCUGAAGCCUUUUGACAUGAGUGCCGCAACCCCAAACUUUAAGAAACGACAUCUUAGGUUUCUUGCCCAAACCACAGUUCAUACGGUGUCGUCUCAACGGAUUUAGAUGGUGCCCCAUUUAACAUGAAUGAAGCUGUCUCUAAUGCAUAACCCCAAAACGAUAUUGGUAAAUCGGUAAGAGACAUCAUAGAUCGCACCAUAUCUAAUAAAGUACGGUUACGACGUUCAAACACACCAUUACGCUGUGGUGUUCCAGGUGGCGUGGGUUAUGAAAUUAUUCCACAUUGUUUUAAAUGAAGGCUAAACUCGUAACUCAAAUAUUCGCCUCCGCGAUCAGAUCGUAGAAACUUUAUUUUCUUGUUACGAUGAUUCUCCACUUCACUCUGAAUUUUUUUGAACUUUUCAAAUGUUUCAGACUUGUGUUUCAUUAAGUAGAUAUACCCAUAUCUGCUCAAAUCAUCUGUGAAGGUCAGAAAAUAACGAUAUCCGCCGCGAACCUCAACACUUAUUGGACUGCAUACAUUGGCAUGUAUUAUUUGCAAUAAGUCAUUAGCUUGCUCCAUUGUUUCGGAGAAUGGACUUUUAGUCAUCUUGCCCAUGAGGCAUGGUUCGCAAGUAUCAAAUGUUUCAUAAUCAAGUGAUUCCAAAAGCCCGUCUGCAUGGAGUUUCUUCAUGCGCUUUACACCAAUAUGACCUAAACGGCAAUGUCACAAAUAUGUUGCACUAUCAUUAUCAACUUUGCAUUUUUUGGCAUCAAUAUUAUGAAUAUGUGUAUCACCACAAUCGAGAUUCAACAAAAAUAGACCACUCUUCAAGGGUGCAUCACCAUAAAAGAUAUUACUCAUAUAAAUAGAACAAUCAUUAUUCUCCGAUUUAAAUGAAUAACUGUCUCGCACUAAACAAGAUCCAGAUAUAAUGUUCAUGCUCAACGCUGGCAUCAAAUAAUAAUUAUUCAGGUCUAAAACUAAUCCCGAAGGUAGAUGUAGAGGUAGCGUGCCGACAGUGAUCACAUCGACUUUGGAACCAUUCCCAACGUGCAUCGUCACCUCGUCCUUAGCCAAUCUUCGUUUAAUCUGUAGCCCCUGUUUCGAGUUAAAAAUAUGAGCAACCGAAGCAGUAUUAAAUACUCAGGCGCUACUACGAGCAUUAGUAAGGUACACAUCAGUAACAUGUAUAUCGAAUAUACAUUUGUUCAUUUUGCCAUCCUUCUUAUCCGCCAAAUACGUGGGGCAGUUCCGCUUCCAUUGACCAGCCCAUUUGUAGUAGAAGCACUCAGUUUCAGGCUUGGGUCCAGCUUUGGGCUUCUUCCCGGGAGUGGCAACUUGCUUGCCAUUUUUCAUGAAGUUUCCCUUCUUUCCCUUGCCCUUUUUCUUAAAACUAGUGGUCUUGUUAACUAUCAACACUUGAUGCUCCUUCUUGAUUUCUACCAUCGCAGCUUUGAAAAUUGCGAAGAGCUCGGGAAUUGUCUUGUCCAUCCCUUACGCAGUGGUCGGUCAUUGAGUCUGACUCAAACUUCACACCUCGUAACACAUGCAAGAACCCUUUUUUGACUAAUCCAUUUUGAAUUUCUUCAUAACUUUAUCAAGGUAUGUGCCUACCUGGCAUGGAUAUCCCCAACACUCUAGGCCGACCCAGUUACCAUUUUAUUGUUUUAAACCCUAAAAAAGGUGUGCACGAUGUGGUUCGAUUCAAGCUCCUCCCGGUUUAGUACUGUCGUGGCUUUGUCACGGCAGAUGUCCUAGAGAAAGGACUUAGUCGUGGAGCCACCGCGAUGGGUUAGCUUGAAGGGGUUAAAGUGGACACAGGGACGCAAGAGAGUUUAUACUAGUUCGGCCCCUUCGAUGAAGGUAAAAGCCUACGUCUAGUUGUGAUGGAAUUGAUGGGUUUUCGAUGACUAGGGAGCAAACAAGCUUCGCCUAUGUCUCGAGUUGUUGUCUAUCUUCCUGAACCGCUGUCGGGUCGUCCCCUUAUAUACACGGGUGACACCCGUCGGUUCACAGAGUCCCAACACCGAUCGAUAUUCGUAUUCUGGGUUGGUCUCUCCUUAUUCCUAACUUACAAUACAAGUUUAUAUACAGAUCCCGGUUUAUAGCUACAAGUCUUGAAUCGGCUACGGGCCUUAGGCCCUCAUCUGCCUUCUUGGGCUUUAUCACUCUUGAACUACUGAUGAAGUUGACCCGACCCAGAUAGGCCGGUUUACGCCCAGCAGUAAUAUCCCCAACAUUAGGCCCCAAAUUGAUUUGAACGGGUUCAUGUCAAUCCUUUAACAAAAGCUUCAUCUUCAACAUCUUCUCAUAAAUUGGUAAACCGCCAUGAUGUCAUCUUCUCUGAUUGCUGUAAACUGGAGUGACGUCACUUGUCAUAACGAAGCUAUCCAUUAUGCUUCUUUGUUUAAUAGAUCUGCAGAAAUCGAGGCGACAGCUCCGUUUCGUGGCCCCUUGAUUGUCGCGCCUGACACAUGUUCUUUCGCCUUAUAAAUAGGACCGAAGGGUCAUUUCUUUUCUCCCCUUCAUGCCUUUCUUCUUCAUCUUCCUCGCGUCGCCAGCCUCGAAGCUCCGCCGCCGCCGUCGACCUCUGCCUCAACCUUGGCCGCUGCAUCAACCUGGGCGCACCAGAGCAUCGCGGCAACCUUUCGCGUCUUCCUCAGCUCCAGUAAAUCUUCUAUCCUUUCCCCCGCAGAUCUGACCUAGGGUUUCACAGUUCUUCAGUGUUCAUCGUCUGCCUCUUGCUCAUACGAUAGAUCUUUAGAUGACUCCGCAAAUCUUUAUUCUGUGCAAUGGUAGCUGUUUACCCUCCGCCUUCACUUACACAUCUCAAAACCAUAGAUCUGUAUGUACGUCUUGCUCAUUGAUUCGGUACUGCUCCCUUUGGACCUCUGAAUAUUUAUCUUUUUUCUGAACUUGCUUCAGAUGCAUCGCUGUAGAGAAAUCUUACGAAAUCUGUUUCUAUAAACUUACUCAUCUGCUUCAAUGUUUAAACUAGGCGGUUUAACCUUGUAGAAAAAAAUUGCCAAACCGGUAUAUACCAUUAGUCCCCUUGUUGAACCGCUAGAUGUUGUUGCUUCAUAAAACUCCGGUUCAGAUAGAUCUGUCUUCGGUUUAACAUUGCACAUACCAAUGUACCUUGAUCAAAUGCAUUUUUGAACCGGGAUCUUCUACCUUGUAGAUUCCAUCAUGGCCAAGCAAGUAUAUGAGUGCAAUUGGGUUCCUUCUCGCAUCACAGAGGCUCAGCUAGACAAUCUAGUCCUGAUCGGCGCUUUAGGCAGCAAAGAUACCAUCCAUUGGAGGGCUCCUGGCAAAGAAUGUGUUGGAAAUAUGCCCUAGAGGCAAUAAUAAAAGUAUUAUUAUAUUUCAAUGUUCAUGAUAAAUGUCUUUUAUUCAUGCUAUAACUGUAUUAUCCGGAAAUCGUAAUACACGUGUGAAUACUUAGACCACAAUAUGUCCCUGGUGAGCCUCUAGUUGACCAGCUCGUUGUGAUCAACAGAUAGUCAUGGUUUCCUGACUAUGGACAUUGGAUGUCGUUGAUAACGGGAUCACAUCAUUAGGAGAAUGAUGUGAUGGACAAGACCCAAUCCUAAGCAUAGCAUAAAAGAUUGUGUAGUUCGUUUUGCUAGAGCUUUGCCAGUGUCAAGUAUCUCUUCCUUCGACCAUGAGAUCGUGUAACUCCCGGAUACCGUAAGAGUGCCUUGGGUGUAUCAAACGUCACAACGUAACUGGGUGACUAUAAAGGUGCAUUACAGGUAUCUCCGAAAGUAGUUGUUGGGUUGACACGGAUCGAGACUGGGAUUUGUCACUCCGUAUGAUGGAGAGGUAUCUCUGGGCCCACUCGGUAAUGCAUCAUCAUUAUGAGCUCAAUGUGACCAAGGUGUUGGACACGGGAUCAUGCAUUACGGUACGAGUAAAGUGACUUGCCGGUAACGAGACUGAACAAGGUAUUGGGAUACCGACGAUCGAGUCUCGGGCAAGUAACGUACCGAUUGACAAAGGGAAUUGCAUACAGGGUUUGAUCGAAUCCUCGACAUAGUGGUUCAUCCGAUGACAACAUCGAGGAGCAUGUGGGAGCCAUCAUGGGUAUCCAGAUCCCGCUGUUGGUUAUUGACUAAGAGCGUCUCGGUCAUGUCUGCAUGUCUCCCGAACCCGUAGGGUCUACACACUUAAGGUUCGGUGACGCUAGGGUUAUUAGGAAGACUAGUAUGUGACUACCGAAUGUUGUUCGGAGUCCCGGAUGGGAUCCUGGACGUCACGAGGAGAUCCGGAAGGGUCCGGAGGUAAAGAUUUAUAUAUGGGAAGUUGCCAAACGGACACCGGGAAGUUUCGGGGUCAUACCGGUAUUGUACCGGGGCCACCGGAAGGGUUCCGGGGGUCCACCGGGAGGGGCCACCCCUCUCGGGGGGCCACAUGGGCUGCGUGGGGCAGGGAGCCAGCCCCUAGUGGGCUGGCCGCACCCCCUCCCUUGGGCCCAUGCGCCUAGGGUUGAGGGGGAACCCUAGAGGGGGCGCCCCCCUUGGCUUGGGGGGCAAGCCACCCUCUCCCCUCUCCCCUAGGCCGCCGCACCCCACCCCCUAGAUGGGUUCUAGGUGGCCGGCCCCCUUCUCCCUUCCCCUAUAAAUAGAGGGGUGAGGGGAGGGCAGCAGGACCACCCUCCAAGGCGCAGCCCUCCCCUCCCCAACACCUCUCCUCCUCCGUUGUGUGCUUGGCGAAGCCCUGUCGGAGUACUGCCUCUCCACCAUCACCACGCCGUCGUGCUGCCGGUGGAGCUGUCUUCCUCAACCUCUCCUUCCCCCUUGCUGGAUCAAGAAGGAGGAGACGUCUCCCGUCCCGUACGUGUGUUGAACGCGAAGGUGCUGUCCGUUCAGCACUUGGUCAUCGGUGAUUCGAAUCACGUCGAGUACGACUACAUCAUCACCUUGCAAGCUUCCGCACGUGAUCUACAAGUGGUAUGUAGAUGCAAACUCUCUCCCUUGACUCGUUGCUUAGAUGAACUCAUAGAUGGAUCUUGGUGAAACCGUAGGAAAAUUUUUAAUUUUCUGCAACGUUCCCCAACAGUGGCAUCAUGAGCUAGGUCUAUGCGUAGUUCUCUUUGCACGAGUAGAACACAAUUUUGUUGUGGGCGUGGAUUUUGUCAUCUUACUUGCCUCUACUAGUCUUUUCUUGCUCAACGGUAUUGUGGGAUGAAGCGGCCCGGACCAACCUUACACGUACGCUUACGUGAGACCGGUUCCACCGACUGACAUGCACUAGUUGCAUAAGGUGGCUGGCGGGUGUCUGUCUCUCCCACUUUAGUUGGAGCGGAAUCGAUGAACAGGGCCCUUAUGAAGGAUAAAUAGAAGUUGACAAAAUCACGUUGUGGUGAUUCGUAGGUAAGAAAACGUUCUUGCUAGAACCCAAUUGCAGGCACGUAAAAGAUGCAACAACAAUUAGAGGACGUCUAACUUGUUUUUGCAGCGAUUGAUCAUGUGAUGUGAUAUGGCCAGAAGUUGUGAUGAAUGAUGAAUUGUGAUGUAUGAGAUCAUGUUCUUUGUAAUAGGAUUCACGACUUGCAUGUCGAUGAGUAUGACAACCGGCAGGAGCCAUAGGAGUUGUCUUUAUUUUUUUGUAUGACCUGCGUGUCAUUGAAGAACGCCAUGUAACUCACUUUACUUUAUUGCUAAACGCGUUAGCCAUAGAAGUAGAAGUAGUCGUUGGCGUGACAACUUCAUGAAGACACGAUGAUGGAGAUCAUGAUGAUGGAGAUCAUGGUGUCAAGCCGGUGACAAGAUGAUCAUGGAGCCCCGAAGAUGAAGAUCAAUGGAGCUAUAUGAUAUUGGCCAUAUCAUGUCACAACUAUAUAAUUGCAUGUGAUGUUUAUUAUGUUUAUGCAUCUUGUUUACUUAGGACGACGGUAGUAAAUAAGAUGAUCCCUUACAAAAAAUUUCAAGAAGUGUUCUCCCCUAACUGUGCACCGUUGCUACAGUUCGUCGCUUCUAAGCACCACGUGAUGAUCGGGUGUGAUGGAUUCUUACGUUCACAUACAACGGGUGUAAGACAGUUUUACACAGCGAAAACACUUAGGGUUAACUUGACGAGCCUAGCAUGUGUAGACAUGGCCUCGGAACACGGAGACCGAAAGGUCGAACACGAAUCGUAUGGAAGAUACGAUCAACAUGAGAAUGUUCACCGACGAUGACUAGUCCGUCUCACGUGAUGAUCGGACACGGGCUAGUCGACUCGGAUCGUGUAACACUUAGAUGACUAGAGGGAUGUCUAAUCUAAGUGGGAGUUCAUAAUUUGAUUAGAACUUUAUUAUCAUGAACUUAGUCUAAAACCUUUGCAAAUAUGUCUUGUAGAUCAAUGGCCAACGCUAAUGUCAACAUGAACUUCAACGCGUUCCUAGAGAAAACCAAGCUGAAAGAUGAUGGCAGCAACUAUACGGACUGGGUCCAGAACCUGAGGAUCAUCCUCGUAGCUGCCAGGAAACAAUAUGUCCUAGAAGGACCGCUAGGUGACGCUCCCGUCCCAGAGAACCAAGACAUUAUGAAUGCUUGGCAGUCUCAUGCUAAUGAUUACUCCCUCGUUCAGUGCGGCAUGCUUUACAGCUUAGAACCGGGGCUCCAAAAGCGUUUUGAGCACCACGGAGCAUAUGAGAUGUUCUAAGAGCUGAAACUAGUUUUUCAAGCUCAUGCCCGGGUCGAGAGAUAUGAUGUCUCCGACAAGUUCUACAGUUGUAAGAUGGAGGAAAACAGUUCUGUCAGUGAGCACAUCCUGAAGAUGUCUGGGUUGCACAACCGUAUGACCCAGCUGAACAUUGACCUCCUAGAUGAGGCGGUCAUUGACAGAAUCCUCCAGUCGCUCCCACCAAGCUACAAGAUCUUUGUGAUGAACUACAACAUGCAGGGGAUGGAAAAGACCAUUCCUGAAGUGUUCUCGAUGCUGAAGUCAGCAGAGGCUGAAAUCAAGAAAGAACAUCAAGUGUUGAUGGUCAAUAAGACCACUAAGUUCAAGAAGGGCAAGGGUAAGAAGAACUUCAAGAAGGACGGCAAAGAUGUUGCCGCGCCUGGUAAGCCAGUUGCCGGGAAGAAGUCAAAGAAUGGACCUAAGCCUGAGACUGAGUGCUUUUAUUGCAAAGGGAAGGGUCACUGGAAGCGGAACUGCCCCAAAUACUUAGCAGAUAAGAAGGCCGGCAACACCAAAGGUAUAUUUGAUAUACAUGUGAUUGAUGUGUACCUUACCAGUACUCGUAGUAACUCCUGGGUAUUUGAUACCGGUGCCGUUGCUCAUAUUUGUAACUCACAGCAGGAGCUGCGGAAUAAACGGAGACUGGCGAAGGACGAGGUGACGAUGCGCGUCGGGAAUGGUUCCAAAGUCGAUGUGAUCGCCGUCGGCACACUGCCUCUACAUUUACCUACGGAAUUAGUUUUGAACCUUAAUAAUUGUUAUUUAGUGCCAAGUUUGAGCAUUAACAUUGUAUCUGGAUCUCGUUUAAUACGAGAUGGCUACUCAUUUAAGUCUGAGAAUAAUGGUUGUUCGAUUUAUAUGAGAGAUAUGUUUUAUGGUCAUGCUCCGAUGGUCAAUGAUUUAUUCUUAAUGAAUCUCGAGCGUAAUAUUACACAUGUUCAUAGUGUAGAUGCCAAAAGAUUUAAAGUUGAUAACGAUAGUCCCACAUACUUGUGGCACUGCCGCCUUGGUCACAUUGGUGUCAAGCGCAUGAAGAAGCUCCAUGCCGAUGGACUUUUAGAGUCUCUUGAUUAUGAAUCGUUUGACACGUGCGAACCAUGCCUUUUGGGCAAAAUGACCAAGACUCCGUUCUCCGGAACAAUGGAGCGAGCAACCAACUUGUUGGAAAUCAUACAUACCGAUGUGUGCGGUCCAAUGAGCGUUGAGGCUCGCGGAGGAUAUCGUUAUGUUCUCACUCUCACUGAUGACUUGAGUAGAUAUGGGUAUGUCUACUUAAUGAAACACAAGUCUGAGACCUUUGAAAAGUUCAAGGAAUUUCAGAAUGAGGUAGAGAAUCAACGUGACCGAAAGAUAAAAUUCUUACGAUCAGAUCGUGGAGGAGAAUACUUAAGUCACGAAUUUGGUACACACUUAAGGAAAUGUGGAAUCGUUUCACAACUCACACCUCAGCGAAACGGUGUGUCCGAACGUCGUAAUCGCACCCUAUUGGAUAUGGUGCGGUCUAUGAUGUCUCUUACCGAUUUACCGCUAUCAUUUUGGGGAUACGCUCUAGAGACAGCUACAUUCACUUUAAAUAGGGCACCGUCUAAAUCCGUUGAGACGACACCGUAUGAAUUAUGGUUUGGAAAGAAACCUAAGCUGUCGUUUCUAAAAGUUUGGGGAUGCGAUGCUUAUGUCAAGAAACUUCAACCUGAAAAGCUCGAACCCAAGUCGGAAAAAUGCGUAUUCAUAGGAUACCCUAAGGAAACUGUAGGGUAUACCUUCUACUUAAGAUCCGAAGGCAAGAUCUUUGUUGCCAAGAACGGAUGCUUUCUGGAAAAAGAGUUUCUCUCGAAAGAAGUAAGUGGGAGGAAAGUAGAACUCGAUGAAGUACUACCUCUUGAGCGGGAAAGUGGCGCAGCGCAGGAAACCGUUCCUGUGAUGCCCACACCAACUGAAGAGGAAAACAAUGAUGAUGAUCAAGGUACUUCGGAUCAAGUUACUGCUGAACUUCGUAGGUCCACAAGGACACGUUCCGCACCAGAGUGGUACGGCAACCCUGUCCUGGAAAUCAUGUUGUUAGACAACAAUGAACCUUCGAACUAUGAAGAAGCGAUGGCGGGCCCAGAUUCCAACAAAUGGCUUGAAGCCAUGAAAUCCGAGAUAGAAUCCAUGUAUGAAAACAAAGUAUGGACUUUGACAGACUUGCCCGAUGAUCGGCGAGCGAUAGAAAACAAAUGGAUCUUUAAGAAGAAGACGGACGCGGAUGGUAAUGUUACCAUCUAUAAGGCUCGACUUGUCGCUAAGGGUUAUCGACAAGUUCAAGGGAUUGACUACGACGAGACUUUCUCUCCCGUAGCGAAGCUGAAGUCCGUCCGAAUCAUGUUAGCAAUUGCCGCAUACUAUGAUUAUGAGAUAUGGCAAAUGGACGUCAAAACGGCAUUCCUUAACGGACAUCUUAAGGAAGAACUGUAUAUGAUGCAGUCGGAAGGUUUUGUCGAUCCUCGGAAUGCUAACAAAGUAUGCAAGCUCCGGCGAUCCAUUUAUGGACUGGUGCAAGCAUCUCGGAGUUGGAACAUUCACUUUGAUGAGAUGAUCAAAGCGUUUGGGUUUAUGCAGACUUAUGGAGAAGCCUGCGUUUACAAGAAAGUGAGUGGGAGCUCUGUAGCAUUUCUCAUAUUAUAUGUAGAUGACAUACUCUUGAUGGGAAAUAAUAUAGAAUUUCUGGACAGCAUUAAGGCCUACUUGAAUAAGUGUUUUUCAAUGAAGGACCUUGGAGAAGCUGCUUAUAUAUUAGGCAUCAAGAUCUAUAGAGAUAGAUCGAGACGCCUCAUAGGUCUUUCACAAAGCACAUACCUUGAUAAGAUUUUGAAGAGGUUCAAAAUGGAUCAGUCCAAGAAGGGGUUCUUGCCUAUGUUACAAGGUGUGAGAUUGAGCUCGGCUCAGUCACCGACCACGGCGAAAGAUAAAGAAGAGAUGAGUGUCAUCCCCUAUGCUUCAGCCAUAGGAUCUAUUAUGUAUGCCAUGCUGUGUACCAGACCCGAUGUAAACCUUGCCGUAAGUUUGGUAGCAAGAUACCAAAGUAAUCCCGGCAAGGAACACUGGACAGCGGUCAAGAAUAUCCUGAAGUACCUGAAAAGGACGAAGGACAUGUUUCUCGUUUAUGGAAGAGACGAAGAGCUCGUCGUAAAGGGUUACGUCGACGCUAGCUUCGACUCAGAUCUGGAUGACUCUAAGUCACAAACCGGAUACGUGUAUAUGUUGAAUGGUGGAGCAGUAAGCUGGUGCAGCUGCAAGCAGAGCGUCGUGGCGGGAUCUACGUGUGAAGCGGAGUACAUGGCAGCCUGGGAGGCAGCGCAUGAAGCGAUUUGGGUGAAGGAGUUCAUCACCGACCUAGGAGUCAUACCCAAUGCGUCGGGGCCGAUCAAACUCUUCUGUGACAACACUGGAGCUAUUGCCCUCGCCAAGGAGCCCAGGUUUCACAAGAAGACCAGGCACAUCAAGCGUCGUUUCAACUCCAUCCGUGAAAAUGUUCAGGAUGGAGACAUAGAGAUUUGCAAAGUACACACGGAUCUGAAUGUCGCAGAUCCGCUGACUAAACCUCUCUCGCGUGCAAAACAUGAUCAACACCAGAACUCUAUGGGUGUUCGAUUCAUCACAAUGUAACUAGAUUGGUGACUCUAGUGCAAGUGGGAGACUGUUGGAAAUAUGCCCUAGAGGCAAUAAUAAAAGUAUUAUUAUAUUUCAAUGUUCAUGAUAAAUGUCUUUUAUUCAUGCUAUAACUGUAUUAUCCGGAAAUCGUAAUACAUGUGUGAAUACUUAGACCACAAUAUGUCCCUGGUGAGCCUCUAGUUGACCAGCUCGUUGUGAUCAACAGAUAGUCAUGGUUUCCUGACUAUGGACAUUGGAUGUCGUUGAUAACGGGAUCACAUCAUUAGGAGAAUGAUGUGAUGGACAAGACCCAAUCCUAAGCAUAGCAUAAAAGAUCGUGUAGUUCGUUUUGCUAGAGCUUUGCCAGUGUCAAGUAUCUCUUCCUUCGACCAUGAGAUCGUGUAACUCCCGGAUACCAUAAGAGUGCCUUGGGUGUAUCAAACGUCACAACGUAACUGGGUGACUAUAAAGGUGCAUUACAGGUAUCUCCGAAAGUAGCUGUUGGGUUGACACGGAUCGAGACUGGGAUUUGUCACUCCGUAUGACGGAGAGGUAUCUCUGGGCCCACUCGGUAAUGCAUCAUCAUUAUGAGCUCAAUGUGACCAAGGUGUUGGACACGGGAUCAUGCAUUACGGUAUGAGUAAAGUGACUUGCCGGUAACGAGACUGAACAAGGUAUUGGGAUACCGACGAUCGAGUCUCGGGCAAGUAAUGUACCGAUUGACAAAGGGAAUUGCAUACAGGGUUUGAUCGAAUCCUCGACAUAGUGGUUCAUCCGAUGACAACAUCGAGGAGCAUGUGGGAGCCAUCAUGGGUAUCCAGAUCCCGCUGUUGGUUAUUGACUAAGAGCGUCUCGGUCAUGUCUGCAUGUCUCCCGAACCCGUAGGGUCUACACACUUAAGGUUCGGUGAUGCUAGGGUUAUUAGGAAGACUAGUAUGUGACUACCGAAUGUUGUUCGGAGUCCCGGAUGGGAUCCUGGACGUCACGAGGAGAUCCGGAAGGGUCCGGAGGUAAAGAUUUAUAUAUGGGAAGUUGCCAAACGGACACCGGGAAGUUUCGGGGUCAUACCGGUAUUGUACCGGGGCCACCGGAAGGGUUCUGGGGGUCCACCGGGAGGGGCCACCCCUCCCGGGGGGCCACAUGGGCUGCGUGGGGCAGGGAGCCAGCCCCUGGUGGGCUGGCCGCACCCCCCCUCCCUUGGGCCCAUGCGCCUAGGGUUGAGGGGGAACCCUAGAGGGGGCGCCCCCCUUGGCUUGGGGGGCNNNNNNNNNNNNNNNNNNNNNNNNNNNNNNNNNNNNNNNNNNNNNNNNNNNNNNNNNNNNNNNNNNNNNNNNNNNNNNNNNNNNNNNNNNNNNNNNNNNNNNNNNNNNNNNNNNNNNNNNNNNNNNNNNNNNNNNNNNNNNNNNNNNNNNNNNNNNNNNNNNNNNNNNNNNNNNNNNNNNNCCAGCCCCUGGUGGGCUGGCCGCACCCCCUCCCUUGGGCCCAUGCGCCUAGGGUUGAGGGGGGAACCCUAGAGGGGGCGCCCCCUUGGCUUGGGGGGCAAGCCACCCUCUCCCCUCUCUCCUAGGCCGCCGCACCCCCCCCUAGAUGGGUUCUAGGGGGCCGUCCCCCUUCUCCCUUCCCCCUAUAAAUAGAGGGGUGAGGGGAGGGCAGCAGGACCACCCUCCAAGGCGCAGCCCUCCCCUCCCCAACACCUCUCCUCCUCCGUUGUGUGCUUGGCGAAGCCCUGUCGGAGUACUGCCUCUCCACCAUCACCACGCCGUCGUGCUGCCGGUGGAGCUGUCUUCCUCAACCUCUCCUUCCCCCUUGCUGGAUCAAGAAGGAGGAGACGUCUCCCGUCCCGUACGUGUGUUGAACGCGGAGGUGUUGUCCGUUCAGCACUUGGUCAUUGGUGAUUCGAAUCACGUCGAGUACGACUACAUCAUCACCUUGCAAGCUUCCGCACGCGAUCUACAAGUGGUAUGUAGAUGCAAACUCUCUCCCUUGACUCGUUGCUUAGAUGAACUCAUAGAUGGAUCUUGGAGAAACCGUAGGAAAAUUUUUAAUUUUCUGUAACGUUCCCCAACAGAAUGCCCUCCCACUCCUCAAGAAGGAGAGGUUGUUGUUUUCGUAGAUCACUUAGCUCGGGGCUUUAAGCCGCCCGGUUCUAAAUUUUACUGGGAUGUUUUGGCCGAUUUCCAACUCCAUCCACAAGACACUGGCCCCAUUAGCCCCCAAGUGCCAAGUUGAAUACUUGUAUUGAUCUUGGGACUUUGUAAGCAAUUGAAAUACGAAGAUCGAAUAUGCAUUAGCCCCCAAGUGCUAAGUGCAUAACUUGUUAUGUGGUUGGUACUUCAAUCCUUGUACCAUUUUGUUGAAGCAUAUAACUGUCUGCAUGCAGGCGGAGCUGAAGAUGAAAGAAAGCCAAGUCGCCGAUCUCCAAGAAAAUCUGAAAACCCAACAAGCUGAAACCUCCAAAGCAAAAGAGGAAUUAGCCAACGCUUUAAGCGCCAUGAAACAACUUAAGGAGAGCUUCAAGAAGAAGCGGGCGGAUUGGGCCACUGAAAUGUCCGCUUUAAUCAAACGAGCAGAGGAUACCGAGGCUGCACUAAAACCAGUGGCGGAUGAACUGACCAGCAUAAAGCGGCACGUGCAUGCCAUGACUACUGCUAUCUUUGGUAAGCCAGUUUGACUUCUGAAUUGGCUCUGCCUUCUUACAGAGUUGCCAGUUUAUCAACCCUUUAUGGUAUUUCAGGGACACGCAUUGGUCACUUGGGGUCAGAUGUGCGGAAGAAACUGAAAGCCGCCUAUACAUUGGUUGAACAAUUGUAUACUGGUGCCCAGCAGAUCAUCUGUACCGCACCCAUAACAAACCGGCGCCCACUUUGAUUCAAGACACUCUGAUGAAACUGUCGGUGCUUCAUGCCCGGGUUGAAGAGCUGAAGAAAUCUGCUGCUCGAACCGGUGCGAUCAAUGCCUUAAUCUGGGCAAAAGCCUGGGUGCCGGAUUUUGAUCCUAUUGAAGCGGCUCAGGGCUAUCCCAGCUUGAAGGAAGACGGGUCAGAGUUUGGUGAAGCGGAUCUGCGAGCAAUAAACCGGGAGGUACGUCCGCUAGCUUGUCAAUUGGCUGAAGAAGCAGACUUGUCUCAUUAUCAAGCCCAAUAUGACAAUCAGAAUAAGCGAAUAGCUGCACCAAUCCAUGAAUCGGAAAAUCUAAUCCCUCCAAUCCGUAAGCAUACUUACGCUCCCGAUAUUGACCCGUCCUUGCUGAUCCAUGAUGAAGUUGUUUUUCAAGCAUUAAUGGGAAUUGACUGGACAACUGUUGAUUUCCAGCCACUAGGUAGAGAAACGGAGGCUGAAGCAGCGCAGGAUGACCCACAACCAUCAGGCCAGGUUGGUGACCAAGCUUGAACCAGAAACCAGUUUUAAAACUGCCUCUCCUUUGCGAAAAACAAUGAUAUUAUUAUGGGCACCGUGUUGCCUUGUAAUAGGCUAGCUGAUACUUUUGAUGUUGAUAUGCCUUCGUGCAUAAUUUGUUCUUCCUGUGGUGAUGAACUUUCCAAUGCACUUUCUGCAAUAAGAAAUUCUUCAAGUGCCACCGCGGUUGUACCGUAAGGCGGAAUAUGAUGUCUGCAUAUAUGAAGUCAAAACAUCCAAUUUUUUUUAAGUAUAUGACCAAAAAAAUUAGAUACAUAAUACCUGCCAUCAUUGAGCAUGAAGUUGGCUUGGCCAAUCUUGAAGCGGAUUUUUGCAAACCCACACUGUUGGAGGAGAUAACAGCUCCUGUAUAUAUAUGACACUGGUUUACCAUGUAAACCGUGCCGGGUUAUAAUAAACACCGUGUUACUCCAUAAGAGGAUGUUAACAACAAGGAUCAAACUGGGCAAAUAGUCUCCGGAUUGACGUGAAUUGUGUUCCGUCAAUUGAUUGGUUGAAAACUUUGUCGGUUUUAAAAAAACGCAAUAAAAAAGAAAAAAGUAGCUUGCAAAGAAAAGUGCAAAGCAAAAGCAAUGACAAAACCGUUUGCAAAAAAGGUUUAUUUGAGCUGAUCAAAUGGCAUUACCAUGGCCGAACACGACCAAGCUCCCGUUAGGUGUAACUAUGGUUCUAGUCCGCCAGGUCCCUAAAUGAAACCGUGGCAUUUAUGCCGACCAAGUGGCAUGGCAAUGGUUCGGGUUCGACCAAGCCCCCAAGUGAUUCUGCGGCCUUAGGCCGAUCAAGAGGCAUGACUGGUUCAGACGUGACCAAGUCCCCAAGUGAUCUGGUGGCUCUCGCCUAUCAAGAGGUAUGGUAUUGGUUCGGACACGACCAAACCUCCAAGUGAUAUAACAUGAUGCUUUUAAAAAGCAAACUCAAGGGGUAAACCGGAGGCCGCUUUAGAACAACUCCGUGUAACCACACAUGAUGUAAAAGAACAGAUACCCCGCUUUAGCUGAGGUUCCGGUUUAUUAUAUUUAAUCAUAAUAUAUACAUCAUUGUAAUAUGUACAUAAGUAGAACCAAUGGCUCAGGUAUAAUAAGGCCGAAGAUGAGCUAUGUUCCACGGCCUGUUGGUCUCCUCCUCUGAUGUACGUGAGUCCUUAUGCUCUCGAAUAUCGAUCAGAUAGUAUGACCCGUUGUGCAGAUUCUUGCUGACCACGAAAGGCCCCUCCCAAGGUGGGGAUAACUUAUGCAUAUCAGUCUGAUCUUGGAUGAGCCGAAGCACCAAAUCUCCUUCCUGGAAGGUUCUGGUUCUGACUCGGCGACUGUGAUAACGGCGAAGGUCCUGUUGGUAAAUCGCCAAUCGGGCGGCUGCUAUGUCACGCUCUUCAUCCAACCGGUCCAAAGCAUCUUGCCGUGCUGUCUCGUUGUCCGCUUCAAUAUAAGCCGUCACACGAGGUGAAUCAUGACGGAUAUCACUGGGGAGAACCGCCUCCGCUCCAUAAACCAUGAAGAACGGUGUGUAUCCUGUUUACCUGUUGGGUGUUGUAUUGAUGCUCCAUAACACAGAUGGUAAUUCUUCUACCCAACAACCCGGUGUUCUCUGCAAAGGAACCAUGAGCCGGGGCUUGAUGCCUCUCAAGAUCUCUUGAUUAGCUCUUUCUGCUUGACCAUUGGACUGUGGGUGUGCCACUGAUGAAACGUCAAGCGGGAUGUGCUCCCGUUCGCAGAACUCCUUCAUGGCACCUUUGGACAAAUUGGUACCAUUAUCUGUGAUGAUACUAUGUGGAAAGCCAAACCGGAAAAUCACUUUUUUAAUGAACUGAACCGCCGUGGCCGCAUCACACUUGCUAACAGGUUCUGCCUCCACCCACUUUGUAAACUUGUCAACCGUCACCAGGAGGUGGGUCUUCUUAUCUUUGGACCUUUUGAAAGGCCCAACCAUAUCCAGCCCCCAAGUCGCAAAUGGCCAAGUAAUUGGAAUCAUUCUCAAUUCUUGAGCUGGUACAUGAGCACGUCUUGAGAACUUUUGGCAACCAUCACAUCGUUUGACCAGAUCCUCUGCAUCAGCAUGAGCAGUUAACCAAUAGAAGCCAUGGCGAAACGCUUUAGCCAUCAGAGAUUUUGAACCGGCGUGGUGACCACAAUCUCCUGCGUGGAUCUCACGCAAAAUUUCACGGCCUUCUUCAGGAGACACACAAUGUUGAAAUGCUCCUGACACACUGCAAUGAUGCAACUCGCCGUUGAUAAUAGUCAUGGACUUGGAUCGCCGGAUUAUUUGUCUGGCCAGAGUCUCAUCCUCUGGUAACUCGCCCUAGUUCUUGUACACCAGGUAGGGAAGCGUCCAAUCCGGAAUAACAUGAAGAGCUGCCACCAAUUGAGCCUCUGGAUCAGGAAUAGCCAAAUCCGCUUCACCAGGGAUCUUGACCGACGGGUUGUGCAGCACAUCCAGAAAAACAUUGGGCGGAACCGGUUUGCACUGAGAGCCCAGCCGGCUUAAAGCGUCCGCCGCUUCAUUUUUCCGCCGGUCCACGUGGUCCACCUGAUAGCCUUUGAAAUGACCUGCAACAAUAUCCACCUCACGACGAUAUGCCGCCAUGAGUGGAUCCUUAGAGUCCCAAGUGACAGACACUUGCUGAGCCACGAGGUCCGAGUCACCGAAGCACUUAACUCGACCUAGAUUCAUCUCCUUAGCCAUCCGGAGACCAUGGAGCAAGGCUUCAUACUCAGCUGCAUUGUUAGUACAAGGGAACAUUAAGCGGAGAACAUAACAAAACUUAUCACCUUGUGGGGAAGUUAAUACGACUCCAGCCCCCGAACCUUCCAAUUGCCUGGAUCCGUCAAAAUGGAUGGUCCAAUAUGUGUGAUCCGGCUUUUCUUCAGGUGCUUGCAUUUCCGUCUAAUCAUUGAUAAAAUCAACCAGUGCUUGAGACUUAAUCGCCGUCCGAGGCACAUACUUCAAAUCGUGCAGCCCAAGCUCUAUAGUCCACUUGGCAAUCCGGCCAGUUGCUUCCCGGUUCUGGAUGAUAUCCCCCAAAGGAGCAGAACUGACCACCGUAAUUGGAUGCCCUUAGGAGUAUUGUUUAAGCUUUCGGCUUGCCAUAAAAACUCCAUACACCAGCUUCUGCCAAUGCGGAUACCUUUGCUUGGACUCAAUGAGCACCUCGCUGAUAUAAUAGACCGGACGUUGAACCGGAUGCUCCUUACCUGCCUCCUUUCGCUCCACCACAAUAGCCAUGCUGACCGCCCGAGCAUUAGCAGCAACAUAUAGCAGUAACGGCUCCUUGUCAAUGGGAGCGGCAAGCACAGGCGGAUUGGCCAAUUGCCGCUUUAAGUCCUCAAAUGCUUCAUCAGUAGCAGAACUCCAGACAAACUGACCCGUCUUCUUCAACAUCUGAUACAAAGGGAUUGCCUUCUCACCAAGACGACUGAUAAACCGGCUUAACGCGGCAAUCUGGCCUGCCAGGCGUUGAACAUCAUUGAUACACUUCGGUUUAGCCAGGGAGGUGAUGGUUGUGAUCUUCUCCGGAUUAGCCUCAAUUCCCCUAUUGGACACCAGGAAGCCUAACAACUUGCCCGCCGAUACACCAAAGACGCAUUUGUCCGGAUUAAGCAUCAUCUUGUAUGUCCUCAGGUUAUCAAAAGUUUCCUUUAAUCACCAAUCAGAGUCUCCUUCUCCGUGGAUUUAACCAUGAUAUCAUCCACGUAGGCGUGUACAUUAGGGCCAAUCUAUUUGUGUAGACAAUUUUGCACACAAUGUUGAUAAGUUGCCUGGGCACUCUUGAGCCCAAAGGGCAUAGACACAUAGCAGAAGGCUCCAAAGGGAGUUAUGAAUGCCGUUUUCUCCUGGUCCUUAACUGCCAUUUUGAUCUGAUGAUAGCCAGAAUAUGCAUCCAAAAAACUUAAACGCUCACAACCCGUCGUAGCAUCAAUAAUUUGAUCAAUACGGGGGAGGGCAAAAGGAUCUGCUGGACAAGCUUUAUUAAGAUCUGUGUAAUUCACACACAUGCGCCAGGUGCCGUUUUUCUUAAGGACCAGCACCGGAUUGGCAAGCCACUCAGGGUGAAAAACUUCAACAAUAAAACCAGCUGCUAAGAGCCUGGCUACCUCUUCUCCAAUUGCCUUGCGUCUUUCUUCGUUAAACUGGCGGAGGAACUAUUUCACCGGUUUGUAUUUAGGAUCCACAUUAAGGGUGUGCUCAGCGAGUUGCCUCGGUACACCUGGCAUGUUAGAGGGCUUCCAUGCAAAAAUGUCCUGAUUCUCACAGAUGAACUCGAUGAGCGCGCUUUCCUAUUUCGGAUCCAAAUUAGCACUGAUGCUGAACUGCUUGGACGAAUCACCAGGUACAAAGUCAACAAGCUUAGUUUAUGCUGCCGAUUUGAACUUCAGGGCCGGAUCAUGCUCCGUAGUUGGCUUCUUUAAUGGAGUCAUGUCCGCCGGAUCAACAUUGCCCUUAUAAUACUUCAACUCCUCGGUGGCACAAACCGACUCUGCAUUGGCUGCAUCACCUUCCUCACACUCCAAAGCGAUUUUGCGGCUUCCGUAAACCGUUAUUGUCCCCUUGUAACCUGGCAUCUUGAGCUGCAAAUACACAUAACAGGGUCGUGCCAUAAACUUGGCGUAGGCCGGUCGCCCAAAUAGGGCGUGAUAUGGACUUUGGAUUUUCACCACUUCAAACAUCAAUGUCUCCGACCUGGAAUCAUGAUCAUCCCCAAAGGCCACUUCCAGAGCUAUCUUACCAACAAGAUAUGCUGAUCUGCCAGGUACUACACCAUGGAACACCGUAUUAGACGGUUUAAGAUUUUUAUCUGUCAGCCCCAUACGACGGAAGGUCUCAUAGUACAAGAUAUUAAUGCUGCUACCUCCAUCCAUGAGCACCUUGGUGAACUUGUAACAUCCCACCUGAGGCGCCACCACCAGAGCCAACUGACCCGGAUUAUCGACCUGGGGAGGGUGAUCCUCUCUGCUCCAUAUGAUUGGCUGUUCAGACCAACAUAGAUAACGGGGUGUGGCCGGUUCAACAGAGUUGACCGCCCGCCUCUGAACCUUCCGGUCUCGCUUGUCCAAGCUAGUAGUGAAGACAUGGUACUGCCCACUAUUCAACUGCUUUGGGUUGCUCUAGUAACCUGACUGUUGCUGCUGUUGGUUGUAACCACCCUGGUUGUUCUGACUAUUUUGACCAUUAUGUCCGCCCGGAUUACCAUUAAAUCCUGAACCGGAACUUCCUCCACCGUAACCCGACCCGGAUCCUGAGCUACCGCCAGAUUCGUGAUCAUACCGGAAAUUAUUAGAAUUCUUGAACUCCUGCAUAAUAAAGCAAUCCUUUCAAAGGUGGUUUGCCGGCGCCUCCUUCAUCCCAUGUCUUGGACAGGGCUGGCUUAGCAGAUAGUUUAGGCGGUCUGGGUUAGGGUUGGGUGCCCCAUUAUGAUUUUUCGGUUUACCUUUGCGUCACUGGCCAUUGUCCUGUGCAUUGGUAUUAGCCACAAAGUCCAUGUUACCAUCCGCUUUACGCUUGCCUCCACCACCAUUGCCUGCCCAGUGAUGCUGCUGACCUUUGGAGUUGUUGUUCCUCUUUCCCUUCCCUGUCUUGUCAUCAUCAUAUUCGGGAUCCUUGGUACUAUCAGAAUCAACAUAUUUCACCAAAGCGGCCAUGAGGGUCCCCAUGUCAGUGCAAUGAUGCUUCAUCCGUCCCAACUUCAGCUUUAGGGGCCCAAACCGGCAGUUGCCUUCUAGGGUUAAUACUGUAGUGUCAGCGUUGAUGCGGUCUGAGGAGUGCAACACUUGUGAAACCCGACACACCCAAUGAGUCGUUGAUUCUCCUUCCUCCUGGACGCAUGCAGCUAAGUCCACUAUCGACAUAGGCUGUUUACAUGUAUCCUUGAAAUUGCUGAUAAACCGGGCUCAUAAUUGGGCCCAUGAACUGAUAGAAUUAGCCGGCAAGCUUUUUAACCAAGUACGGGCCGUUCCUUCAAGCAUCAUGGUGAAGUAUUUCGCACACGCCGCGUCAUCCACAUCAAGCAUCUCCAUGGCCAUCUCAUAGCUCUCCACCCAUGUCUCUGGAGGCUGAUCCGCCGUGUAAUUUGGUACCUUGCGCGGGCCCUUGAAAUCCUUGGGCAGGCGCACAUUGCGUAAAGUGGGGAUAAGGCAAGGCACCCCCAAAGAACUAGAAGUAACCCCAGGUUCGAUUGAGAUGGUUGGACGAACCAGCGUGAGCUGCCGAGCCUGAUGCUGUGUGGCUAACUCGGCCUCCCUGCGCGCUCGGGCCCGGUUCACCACCUCCUGAGCGUUAUCAGCACCACCCGUCAGGUUGUUGCCACGGGGUGCUCCACGUCGUUCGUUACUCGACACUGCCGGUUCAUCCAUAUGUCCGCUAUAGCUCCGGCUUGGGUGGGGGGUCGAGUGGAUUCGGUCGCGGCUGUACGAGUAUGCUUCCUGUUGGACCAAAGCUGUCCUCAGAAGCUCCUUGACCCGUCGCGUCUCUACUGCCUGCAGCGAAUCACCCUCAAUUGGAAUGGCCUCCAGCCGUGCAGCAGCGGCAACGAGAUUGUCCAUCGGGUUGGAGUAGUGACCCGGAGGUGUUAAAACAGCAUGAGGUAUAACGGUGUUUUGACGUGGCGGGUCCAUCUGACGAGGCUGAACCGGUGCACCGGUCCCGGGAGCUUCCGCCCGGUUUCCCUCCAGCGGAUUGCCGGUUCCUACUCCUGGAGUAUUGAAAAGGUCUUUGGCCUCAAAAACCGGAGGCAAACGGGAUCGGUACUUCCUCCUCAUGACUUCAUGCAACGCACUCUGGUCCAACAUGAGCCUGUAGACUUGUGCGUCUAAAGCGGCCCGCUCCGUGGCCAUCCUGGUGUCCUCAGCUGCCAGAUUUGCCUUGGCCUGGGUGAUCUGUUCCUUCACUUUUGCAAUCUCGGCGUUGUGAACGCCCUGAUCCGUCGGAUUAGCCUCCGCCAUAAGCACAGCCAAUGCAUCAAAUAGCUCUGAUAGAACUUGAGCCGGCGGGCGCACAGGGCCUCCUGCCCCGGCAGCCGUCACCGCUGCUGAACCGGAGGUUGUUGCCGCAGCGGUCGAAGAAUGAAGCGCUGCUUGUGUGCCAGUCAUGAAUAUUCCAACCCGGUUGGGCAGAUCAAAGGGGUCCGGAAUACUGUCGCCAUCGGAACAGCCCCCAAUCCGGCCGUCUUGUAGCUGAUAAAGAGAUUCGGUUUCUCCGGUCGAUGACUCGUCAUCGGAACAAACGACGGUAUCGCCGCGAGAUUCCGAUCCAUCCUCAUAACUUCCUCCAUGAAUGACUCCCACGAAGGCACGCUUCAUGGCCGGUUUAACCCGGGCGGAUCAUGCAUGCUGAGCCGUCUCGACGAGGUCGGUGCAGAUGUCCGGCUCAGGGCCCGGUUCACCGAUCUUGCCAAUGAAAACGUGAAUGCCACCAACGGGGACCCGGUACCCGUACUCAAUUGAGCCAGCCUCGGGGCCCCAGCCUGCGUCGUCGAUGUAGAACUUGCCGUGACGACUCUUAGUCAUCCGGCCUACAGUGUAGCCCUCGAGUCCUUCAAAGCGGCCUUCCAAGAACCGAAAACCAUCGUGCGAUAGCCCCACGGUGGGCGCCAACUGUCGUGGCUUUGUCACGGCAGAUGUCCUAGAGAAAGGACUUAGUCGUGGAGCCAUCGCGACGAGUUAGCUUGAAGGGGUUAAAGUGGACACAGGGACGCAAGAGAGUUUAUACUAGUUCGGCCCCUUCGAUGAAGGUAAAAACCUACGUCUAGUUGUGAUGGAAUUGAUGGGGUUUCGAUGACUAGGGAGCAAACAAGCUUCGCCUAUGUCUCGAGUUGUUGUCUAUCUCUCUGAACCGCCGCCGGGUCGUCCCCUUAUAUACACGGGUGACACCUGUCGGUUCAUAGAGUCCCAACACCGGUUGAUAUUCGUAUUCCGGGUUGGUCUCUCCUUAUUCCUAACUUACAAUACAAGUUUAUAUACAAAUCCCGGUUUAUAGCUACAAGUCUUGAACCGGCUACGGGCCUUAGGCCCUCAUCUGCAUUCUUGGGUUUUAUCACUCUUGAACUACUGAUAAAGUUGACCCGGCCCAGAUAGGCCGGUUUACGCCCAGCAGUAAUAUCCCCAACAAGUACCGAGCGCACUAAGCGGGCUCCUUAGUUUUAUUUCUUAAAUUGUGACGCUGAAAAAAUGCAGUUGUUUCCUGUUUGGUUUUCUUUUUCUAUUUUACCCCUUUUUUCUUUCUUAAAUGCGUGAACUUUUCAAAUUCGUUAUUUUCCUCAAGAUCAAUGAUCUUUUUUUAAUUUGUGAACUUUUUCUUCAAAACCUAUGAUCUCUUUUCAAAUUUAAUGAUUUUUUUUCUAAUUUGAUGAUUUUGUUUCAAAAUUGAUGGACUUUUUUGUCAAACUUGAUGAAUUUUUUUGAAGUUGUAAUUUUUGCAAAAUUGAGGAACUUUUUCAAAUUGCUGAUUUUUUUCGAAAUUGGUACCUUUUUUCAAAAUCGAUGAAGUUUUUUUCAAAAUCGAUGUCCUUUUACAAUUUUUCACAAACUUUUUCAGAUUCGCUAUUUUUUCAAAAUUCACGAACCUUUGCUCAAAUAUAUGACUUUUUAUAAAAUCCUAAACCUUUUUUAUUUCACAAUAUAUUUCGAAAGUAUUUUCAAACCGUUUGGUUUUUUCUACUAGACCAACAACAUAAAAAAACGAAAAACAAAAACUAGCUGGCGGCCGAGCGAAGCGAGCCGCGGAGCAGCUGGAGCGAGCGGGGAGCAGGCGAAAUCACUAAUUAAGGAGUACUCGUUGCAAAGAACACUCCACUUUCCCAGGUCGCGACAAGUGGCGCACAUGCAACAUGCUACUUGUGGCAACCGAGAAGUUUUUCUUUUUUUCGUAGAUCCGUUUAUUCAAAACAUUUUAUCUUUUAAACCGCGCGUCCAAAUCUUAAACCGUUUUCACUAUUGGAUUCCUCGCGUCGAGAUAUUCAAAACUAGAUCCCAUGUUGAUAGAUUUUGACGAACUUUUUUUCAUGAGAAAACCGGACGAAAAAAACCGAAACCGGGAGCAUGGUUUUUUUUCCUUUCCGAAAGAGGCACGCCCGUGCCUCUCGCGAAAAUCACGCCCGUGCCUUUCGUGGAAGCAAAACCGAGACUCUCGUGGAAGGAAAAAAAAUAGAAGUCAUGUUUUUUUUCUCGUUUCUGAGAGGCACGGCCAUGACUCUCGCGAAAGCACAACCGUACCUCUCGCGGAAACAAAACCGUAACUCUCGCGAAAGAAAAAAAACAAAAAACCAUUUUUUUUCGUUUCCGAAAGGCACGGUCGUGACUCUCGCUAAAGCAUAACCGUGCCUCUCGCGAAAAAAACCAUGACUUUCAGGAAAGAGAAAAAAAUUGUGUUUUUUUUCUCGUAAUUUUUUUUUUAAUUUUUUUGAUCGAAAAGCUAAGGAAGAGAAAAACCAAAGCGUCGAAAAACCCUGAAAAAAACCGUUUAAAAAGCCAAAAACGCGUGUGGAAAAAUAAAAAAAUAAAAUCCGGAAAGAGUGUCCAAAAUGCGACACGUGGCGAAUGACUGAGAACGCUCUAAAUGGCGCUGAUCGUUGCGAGGCAGCUCUCGUUAACUAGAUGCUCCCGGGAGCAGGCGAGUGAACUCACGUCGCUGGGCCGCAUGGAAAACCAGCAGGUCCAACUUAAUUGUGUGGUUGGGCCUCGAAGCUGCUGCACNNNNNNNNNNNNNNNNNNNNNNNNNNNNNNNNNNNNNNNNNNNNNNNNNNNNNNNNNNNNNNNNNNNNNNNNNNNNNNNNNNNNNNNNNNNNNNNNNNNNNNNNNNNNNNNNNNNNNNNNNNNNNNNNNNNNNNNNNNNNNNNNNNNNNGCCCUCAUUCCUCAGCCACCACACCGAUCUAGGGUUUCCUGCUAGGGUUUUAGUCCUUCGUUUCCAGCGGCGGCGCAAGAUGGGUGAGAGAGUGAAGGGAACCGUGAAGUGGUUCAACGUCACCAAGGGGUUCGGAUUCAUCUCCCCGGAGGACGGCAGCGAGGACCUCUUCGUCCACCAGUCCGCCAUCAAGGCCGACGGCUACCGCAGCCUCAACGAGAACGACGUCGUCGAGUUUGAGGUCAUCACCGGCGACGACGGCCGAACCAAGGCCGCCGACGUCACCGCACCAGGAGGGGGUGCGCUCGCCGGCGGCUCCCGCCCUGGCGACGGCGGUGGUGACCGCGGGGGUCGCGGCGGGGGUGGCUACGGUGGAGGCGGCUACGGCGGCGGCGGCGGCGGCGGCUACGGUGGUGGUGGCGGCGGCUACGGCAGCGGUGGCGGCAGCUACGGCGGCGGUGGCGGCUAUGGAGGUGGUGGCGGCGGCGGCCGCUACGGAGGAGGCGGCGGCGGCGGCCGUGAGUGCUACAAGUGCGGCGAGGAGGGCCACAUCUCCAGGGACUGCCCCCAGGGCGGCGGCGGCGGUGGCGGUGGCUACGGAGGUGGUGGCGGCCGUGGCGGUGGUGGUGGCGGUGGCGGCUGCUUCUCCUGCGGCGAGUCCGGCCACUUCUCGCGCGAGUGCCCCAACAAGACCAACUAGACGGCUUUGCCCGUCAGAUCUGAGUGCCCCGUUCCCCUUCGCUCCUUUUCCUACCGCCUGACUCUGCAGCAAGUCAUACCUAUACCUAUCAGUAUUAGUAUAUGUCGCCGUAGUGUUCCCCGUGCUUCUCGUAGGAAGAAGAAUCGACGAUGCGAGCUUGGUUCCAGAAGUAUUGUUGGUGGCGUGUUGUUCGUUUGAAGUUAUCUUGUGUCGUCUGAUGGGGACAGACCUUAUAUCUUUAUGUAUUGGAUUGAAUGGACUAAGUUAUGCAAGUCAAGUUAUGCUGUCUGAUUUUGAUAUCAUUGAAACUUGCAUGUUCUUUUCAUUUUUCCAAAAACAAAAACAGCUGAUCGUUUUUCAGUUCGCGCGGAUUCGUUUCUCCAGUUGUUGGGUCUUCGUCUGCAUCUCAGAGCGUGCUCCUCUGGGCGUCCAGGCUAGAAUGUUCAUUGUUUAGUAGCAUGCUUGAGUGCUAUUGUUCAGAGAUUAGUAUUAGUAUAUUUGUUCAGAUAUUAGAAUUUUUUCAUGCGUCAUAUUUCAGUCAGAUUGUGUUCAAUGCAUGAAUGAACAGCCUCACUAUUUAGAUGUGUGUACUGAGAUCACAAGAAGUUUUGGAAGCUAUGUUUUGCUUACAGUUUCUCUAUGCUUUUUGUUCCUUAGUCUGUCAGCUUGCAUCAUUGUUCAGUAUAUCGUGGUUUUCAUAGAUUAACUAUCUGUCUUAUUGUACAGUCAUUUCUCAUUUCAUUAUUCUGUUUGUUAUUCACACAAUGAGCUCUUGCCUGGCGAUGGCUUCUUAUGUCCAGUAUUUUUUUCAUAUAGUUUUUCUUUCAUAGUCAAGCCCAUUCAGCUCAGUAUUUUAGCACCUCACUUUUCUUCAGUUUUUCAUUCUUCAUGAGCGAUAAAUCACGCUGAAGGCUCUACUUGCACUUCUUUUGGUCUCUCUUUGUCUUGAAGCUCUUAUUCAGUUUUUAGCCUUUUAAUUCGGCUUCACCAGUUUCUUUGUUCCUUGUAAUUUCUGUUUAAAGUUUCUCAAAUUUUAUCCAUGGCACAUAGCAUUAUUUAUUCAUAUUGCGGUAAUGAUUAUGAUCCAUCCUUUUGGAAGUGACAAACAAAGAAGCACCCAGAGCUAGACACUUUCUUUUGCAUGGUCAAUCUUUUUUUCAUUUGCAUGGUUGGUUUUUGCAUUGACGGUGAAUUUCAAGUGCAAUCAAACUGUAAGUCAGUCACCUUGGUUCAUUUUGUACCGAUGAAUGGAAAACUGGAAAUUAGCGUUUGCUUUCUACUCCCUCCGUUCCUAAAUAUUUGUCUUUCUAGAGAUUUCAACAAGUGACUACAUAUGGAGCAAAAUGAGUGAAUCUAUACUCUAAAAUAUGUCUAUAUACAUCCGUAUGUGGUAACCAUUUGAGAUCUCUAAAAAGACAAAUAUUUAGGGACGGAGGGAGUAUGAAGUAGGGCCAGAUGGCUUUUUCUCUCUAAAAUUGACUGGCAAUUGCAUUUGUAGCCAUGGAACACACACCUUUGCUGAUAGUCCAAGUAGCAUACUUUUGUUAGCUAUUCAGAAAAGAUGUUGCUCUAUUUCUAUCUCAUCAGUAUUAGUGUGUGUUUCUCAUCAGUAUUAGUGUGUGUUUCUUCAGUCUUUUCUCUGUCAGUGUUUAGAUUUCAGUGCUAUAUCAGAUAUAUCUUCACCAACGCAGCAUUUUAUCGAACAUGCAAGUCUAUCUAGCUUUUUUUCUUACAUUUUGGCCUCAAGAAUUUGUGCCGCUAUGUUUUCUUUUUCCAGAGAUGAUCACGUGUAUGUAGUUUACCGUGUGCCUAUUUAGUUGUAGUGUCAAGUGGCAGGUCAUUGUGGGAUGAAUGUUUCUUGAGUAUGAUCUGUAGUAGACUAUUAAGAAUCCUGAAAUCUUGGAUUUUGGUGGCAAAUUAGUACUCUGCAUGUGUAUUAAUAUGAAAGUAGACUUGUCAAUUUAAUUUCAAUUGGUGAUGCUUAUCAUGUGCAUUCUGAGAUCAACAGCCGAUGGAUCUUGAAUUCCAGGGCCUAGUUCUGAAUCUGUUACAUUGGCCAACGAGCUCAGUGAGUUACAUGUCAACAAUUUACUCUAGCAUGGUAUAUUUGAACUUGGCUGGCUGGGCAACUUGUACCGUUUAUAUGCUUUUGUAUUUCUUUUUGUGAAUAUAUUUGGUUUUGUAUAUACAUGACCUGAUUUUAUAUGCUUGGCUGAAAGUUGCACUGGUAAAUUUCAUGUUGCUUGUUUCUCAAGAGUGUUGUCUGGAGGUUUGGUUAUUUUUUUUUUGAAACGGGCAAAAGAUUUGCCGCAUAUAUUAAUUAAGAAGGAGAAGAAUGUUUUGUUACAGGCCCGCAACUACAAGGAUUUUACUCUCCCGGAAUGAUGGUCCCUAACUUUUUUGCGCCUGCGGCGACCCAGAGUUUAGCUUCAAGCUUGAUGUUGUUGAGCAAGAUUGUUGGCGGAGAGGACUUGUUGCGGAAGACCCUCCUGUUUCGUUCAUUCCAAAUAGACCAAGAUAUUAGCAUGGUAAGGGAAGCCCGGGCCUUGCGAUUUGGCAUGGAGAUGUUGGAGCGGUUGACCCACCAAUCUUUGACAGAUUGCUCAAGAUGACAUGUAGGAGUGUGAAGGUGCUCAAGGUGUAGCCAUUCAUUGACCAAAUUCCAGAGGCGAAUGGUGAAUCUACAUUUGUAGAAGAGGUGGGCGCUGGACUCUUGUACACGCUUGCAUAGGGGGCAAAGGUUGCAAUUUGGCCACCCCCGCUUUGCCAGUCUGUCAGCUGUCCAAAUCCUAUCUUGGAUAGCCAACCACACAAAGAACUUCACUUUAGGCGGCGCCCAGGCUUUCCACACCGCAUGUGGCAUCGGAGAGUGUGUAGAGCCCAUGAAUUGUGCCAAGUAAGCGCUUGCCGACGAGUAUUGUCUGUUCUUAGUGUGCUUCCAGAUGAUUUCAUCCUCGACGUGCUCCACAAGAUGAAAUCCAUUGAUGAGAGUCCAAAGGUUUAUGAAUUGCCUAAUGUGCUCGACGGUGAAGCUUAUCGUGAUCUUAAUCUUGAAGAUCCAUGCAUCAUUGAGGAGCGCAUCCUUGACUUUCCAUUUUUUCCUUGAGGAUGCCUCGAAGAUAAGAGGCGCGAUUUCCUUAGGCUUUCGGUCUUGAACCCAUGGAGCUUCCCAAAAGGGGGUCCUCGCCCCAUUACCAACCGUGAUUGUUGUGCAUGCGUAGAAGAGGUUGAGGUCCAUCUCAUCGUAAGGAUUUCCCAUGCCGACCCACAUUCUUGUUGGUUCCUUCCACUCGAACCAAGGCCAUCUCAGUCUUAGGGCUCUUGCAAAUUUUGUUGUGUUCAGUACUCCGAGUCCUCCCCUCUCAAAAGGUCGGCAGACCAUGUCCCAGUUGACCUUGCACUUGGCACCAGUCGUCCUGUCCGCGCCGGACCGAAGGAAUGCCCUCGCAAUCUUGUUUGUGCUGUGUAGGAUGCUCGGGGGGACAAUCAACGGCGUGAUGUAGUAGACCACUUGCGAGGCGAGUGAAGAUUUGACAAGUGUGGUGCGCCCGAUGGUGGUGAUGUUGUUACCCUCCCAUGGGAUGAGCUUAGCCGCCGCCUUGUCCUCUAGGAAUUGAAAGUCCACUUUCUUGAGUUGCCACACCGAGAGUGGAAGCCCCAAGUAUCUCAUCGGAAAGGAAGCCCUCACCGCCGGCAAGCUUUGGGUGAUAUGCUCAAGGUUUAGGUGUGCACAUUUAAUUGGGACGAACGAGCUCUUGCUGAAGUUGGUUUGGAGGCCUGAGACCUCACCAAAGCCUUUGAGGAUGGGGGCGAGGUUGUCAAUGUCUCGCUUAAUGGGCGCCAUGAAUACCGCGACAUCAUCCGCAUACAGGGAGGUUUGCAUGAUAGUGCCUCUACCCUGGAUUUUGUGGAGUAGCCCCUUUCUUGUAGCCAAUUCGAGAAGUUGUUGAAGGGGGUCGAUAGAGAUGACAAAUAAGAGAGGUGACAAGGGGUCCCCUUGCCUGAACCCGCAGCGGUGGAAGAUUGCGGGGCCGGGCACCCCAUUGAGGAGAAUCCUGGAUGAUGAAGAGUUUAGGAGAGCAGCCACCCAAUUGUGGAACUUGCAUGGGAAACCCCUCCUACGCAGGAGAUUGAGGAUAUACUCCCAACGCACCGAAUCAAAAGCCUUGCGGAUGUCAAGUUUAAAGAGGAGAGGAGGAGGAGGUUUGGUUAUCAUGAAUAUCAAAGGAUGAAACAUAAUAAGGUCAUUUCGUUUACCUCUGCAUGAUUUUAGUGUGUUUCUUCAGUCUUUUCUCUCAGCUUUCACUUCAGAUGUUAUUGCGAAAACACCCACAGCUUAUCAAAUCCAUUUCUUUAAACGCAACAGCGUCGCUAGGUACGUCCUUGUUCUUGGCUCCUUUGACUCCAGCCCCAUAAGCUAUUCUUUCACCUGCCUUUCAAAUUUUACAACAUGCUAUCCGUCUGUUUUACCAUUUUGCCUUGGGUUUUUGUGUCACUUCUGUUGAAGGCGGAUGUUGUCAGUUUUCCAGAUUGUGAACAUGAGCUGGGGAGGAAUUAUUUAGUUUCAGCUUUCAUGAAACAGAAAAGCUAACCAGCGAAAUAAGGUUUUUGGUGAUCUCCAGCGAACACCCUUCCUCGGCCUUCAUACUCAUCCAACCCCCGCCCCCACUUUCCUCAUCCUCACCACUCUCUUCUAGGCAGGCCCCUGUGAUCUUCGGCCAUUCUCGUCGUUUAUCUCCUGUGGUCGAGGUUUGGCUGUAAGUCUCUAUUCUUGCCACCGAUCUAUCACGCAGUCCUUGACGACGAGAAUGGAGCUCGACUUCUGAUGUUCUUCCCUCCCAAGAUUCCCUGUGGUGAGCAACGCCACUCUUUCCCGAUGGAACCAGACAGCAGCCGAGGAGGCACUGCAUCGCUCGAACUGCCAUGGAUGGACUUGCUUUAGUUCCUGGAUCUGUCGGCGUGCCUUGCAACCGUCGUUGCCCCUCCAGGAGAUCGACGCUAGCGCGGCGACCUACGACUUGGCUUGGAGCCCCUACGGCUAGCUGCUCGCCAUGGCCGCCUCCGGCCGCCGCAAGGAGCUCCUGUGCCAGAUCCAACACCACGCAGGUUGCUCCCAAGCCUCCAACCUCCGUCCGCCUCGAAGGACUGCGGCAUGGUGCUCAUCCUUAGGUUCUCCCCCUGCUCUCUCCCUCCCUUCCAUCUUUCUUCUGCUUUUUGUGCUCCCAAUUGGUGUGUGCUUGCUGGUCUAUGGCCAUGGCCGGUCCUUGUGUGCGCACUAUGCGAUGGACCGCGGCGUGGUGCUCAUUCCCUUGGGUUAUUCUCCCCCUGCUUGCUCCCUCCUUUCCAUCUUUCUUCUUCUGUUUUUUGUGCUCCCCAUUGGUACGCACUCUGUGCUUGCUGUGCUUCCAGCUCAUAGCAGUUCAGUAGUCUUUACACAGGUUUCUUCAGAUUUCCAACGUGAACGAAUUUAUUUUUAUGCCAAAUACCAGCUAUGUUAGGCUAUGAGGAUGGGCCAACUCAUAUAAUAACAUAAUGGCAAAUCCAGAUUUGUUGUCAUGGCUAUAUCAUGCGAAUUGUAUGCUUUCUAUCAUGGCAAUUCACCAAUACCUUUUCCUUUUUGUUGCGCUACACUGUGAGGUAUCUAAUAUUUUAUAUCAGUAUGCAAGUUAGGUACUGUUUGGUAUUGCUUCGCUCCACAACUCCGCUCCCGGAGUUGGCGAAGCUGCAGUUCAAAAUGGCGGAGUUAUAGUUUCCCCGCUCUGUAGAUUCCGGGAGUGGGUGAUUAUUGAACAGGGCCUUAGUCUAGUUGGCAAAUUCAUAUUAGGUGUGUAGAUAGUGUGGACAAACUGCCAUGGCAAAUUCACAUCAAGCAUUAAGAUAGUUUUUAGUUGGCAGUAAACUGCCAUGGCACUUUUUUAUAGUCUCCAUCUACUAAUACAAGGCCAGUUCACAUUUUUAUGUCUAAUUUGACCAUUAAUUUUACCAACAAAAAUUGAGUUAUAUGCCAUAAGAAGUACGUUACUAGAUGCGCAUAUGAAAGAACCUUUUGAUAAUAUAUUCUACUCCCUCCGUUCCAAAUUAGUUGACUCAGAUUUGUCUAGAUAUGGGUAUAUUUAGACAUGUUUUAGUGUUAGAUAUAUCCGUAUCUAGAUAAAUUCAAGUCAACUAAUUUGGAACGGAGGGAGUAUAUGACAGACAACCCAUAUUUUCUUGACCAAAAUUAUCAGUCAAAGUUUGAAACAAAAAAUGAAGUGGUCUUGUAUAUUAAAAUGGAGGGAGUCUAAUUUUGCCAUGUUACAUGGUUGCAAUUGGUGAAGGCAAUUUCCACACCAAUUUUUACAAUCAGUAAACUGCCAUGGCAAUUAGUCUUUCUUUUUGCAAUGACAUCUUACAUAUUUUUGCCAUUUUAUACUGUUGGUGAUCGUUGUUGUGAAUGCAAUUUUCACCCUUCACAGUCCGUAAAAUUGCCAUGGGCCUUGUAUAUAAAAAUGAAUGGAGUAUAAUUUUGCCAUGUUACACAGUUGCAAUUGGUGAAGGCACUUUCCACACCAGUUCUUACAAACUUUCAUGGCAAUUAGUCUUUCUUUUCGUAGUGACACCUUACAUAUUUUUGCCAUUUUAUAUAGUUGUUGAUCGGUGUUGUGAAUGCAAUUUUCACCCUUCACAGUUCAUAAAAUUUUCAUGGGCAAUUUAGUAUGAUUUUUUGCCAAGAGUCCAUGACACCUUAUAUAUUCUUUUUGCACGGAUUUUUCAUAAAAUGUGUAUCCAACACAUGGCAAUUUUUGGAAAAUGUUUGUUUUUGAUCAUUAGCAUUUUCUUAAAAGAAGAAAUGUUCUAUACAACAUGGCAAGUUUGAAACAUGUUUUUCAAAUGGUCAAAAUCUGUUCUUUUUGUUAUUAUUAUUUAAUAGAUGUCAAUUAUUAGUAUUAAGAGAUGGCCCUUUUAUUAUUAAGAAAUGGCCUUUUAUUAUUAGGAGAUGGCAUUUUUGUUUAUUAAGAGAUGCAUUAUUUAUUUAUUAAGAGAUGCAUUUUUUAUUUAUUAAGAGAUUCCAUUUUAUAUUAAGGUAUGACAAUUUUCUAUUAAGAGAAAACAUUUUUUGUUUAUUAAGAGAUGCCAUUUUUUUUAUGAAGAGAUCGACAUUUUUAUAUUAAGAUGUGACAUUCUUAUAUUAAGAUGUGACAUUUUUAUGAUUAAGAGAGGCAUUUUUCUUCUUCUUUGUUACAUUUUUUGGAAAGGGAUGCUUUAUUACUUAAAAGUUUUAAGCAUUACAUCCGGCCUCUGCAUAACUAAGAUGCAUAAAUAAGAUGCACACAACCAAAAAUAUAUAGACGUUCAGAGCAACAUGGCAACUCAAAUUAUAGGACCACGGCAAGUGUAAAUAUAUUUUUUGUAUAUCCAUGGUGGAUAUAUGAUAUUAGAGGACGGCAUGUUUCAGAAGUUCAGAGCAUGGAUUUUUUAAAAUAUUUAUUUUAAAAAAACUAGUCAAAAGAUUUACCAUUUUCAUUGAAUACAGAAGUAUUAGACAUUGUGGCCACAAGCCAGAUUACAAAACAUCACACUCGCGGCAUUAGAAUACGCAAAUACUUCGCUCCAGCAAGUCCUCAUAGACUACAUUUCUCUAUUACUCUGACCGGCACUGCAAAGUCGCGGAAGACCCUGGCAUUGCUUUCCUUCCAUGUUUCCCAUAAGAUGAGAAGUAUUAGGGAGAUGAGUGGUCGCCGGAACUGCGUCCUGCUGGUUGCAUUAAGGCUCCACCACUCGAAUGAAUCAUCCAAACGGCAGCUUCACGUCCAUGUAGAUCCCAUAUUUGUAUGCCUUAGUUGAGAACACCAUCAACCGAAACGGCAGUUUCAGUUUCCAUGUCCAUGUAGAAGAGGCGCCGAAGGCGUUAGGCGUUGUGCAAUGAUAGGUGCUUAGAAAAAUAAAUCAGAUUUUUUUUAAAGCAUUAAUGUCUAUUUCUACAGAAGAGAUGCCUAAUUAAGCAUUUAUUUUUUACAAAUAAGCAUCGGUGCUUAAAUAAACAUUGAUUUAUUAACCUAAGCACCUUUCCUAAGCAUCUUGCAUUGUACAAGACUGGUUGUUGUUGGGUCUGGAAGAUCAUACCCGAUAGUUAGUUAGUCAAAUUUUUUACCGUGACCCAGCAUGAUUACUCACGUGCACGUGUCACAGCAUGAUUGGGCAAAAGACCGACUGUCCUCAAAUGAAAAAACAGCCGACUGUUGAAUAGACAGUCGAGAAGAACAUAUUUGAAUUUUGAAACCAAACAGAACUGGACCCAAUAGAACAAGUUACUCCAACUCCCGAGGAACGUCACAGCAUGAUGAAGAUAAGCAGGUUUUAUACGGCCCUGAUUACUGUAUUUCGCACUACUACUAGGCCAAAUGCUACUCCAUUUCGGGACUCCUGUUACUCCAACCAAGUAGCGUGCCCGGCUUCUGCAAGGGAGUGGCAAUGAUGACGGCGCGCAUUUGGCUUAAUUCACUGCUUGUAGUCGUCGCUAGUAGUUUAUAGAUUUAGAUAUAAUUUUUAUUAUUUAUGAUGUUUGUUGUACUAUCAUGAUUGAAAAUAAAUAGAUCGAAAAUUUUCUCGUAAAAGAAACACCGAAGGAUCCCGGCGACAGAUUCAGCCCGUCUAACCAGUCUUGAUUCGUCCCUCAAACCAUGUGCUACGACCCCAAAUAAUGAAGUUAAAAUACUCUGCGUGCAGGAUCAUGGUCCCAGAUCUUCAACAGCAAGUGUAAUUGUUUAGCAUGCCAAUGCCCACUUUUAUAUGUCUUUGUAGUAGUAUUUGUGUAACUGUCGACCUGUCUGACUCUGCUGUUAUAUGUAGUGGUACUCGAAUCCAAUGCUCGCUUGGAAAAUGCAACUUGACGUCUAUGCAUCCUUGCUAAGCAAGGCUCAAUGAUUCUCUGUCAUGAUAGAAGGAAAAUUUAAUCACUUGUGCUGUCAACCCCUCCCAUUACGUCCGCAUGUCAUGAUAUAAGCUUAAUCUGAAUUCAGCAGUCUCUGAGUACUUAUUAAGAAACAAGGCACGUAACUGGAUAUUCAAUUCGGUGACCAAACUCAUAUGCACCCGGCGAAAAAAAAAGUUUGAAUUUUUUUAGGUGCAAGAUGUUCCGAUGCGUGAUGUUCGUGCCUAAUUUCAGCUUUUUCAGACAUCUGAGGAGCUCAUGGCAAAAAAGAUAAAAUCAAUCAAAAUAGUACAUGAACAGCAAACUCUCUUACAACCACAAAAUUUGUCCUUUUUUGCUGAGAGCUACUGAAAUGUCCAAACUCCACUAAGUUUGUCAUGAACUUCAGGCACAUGAGCAUCUAGCAUCACAAAAAAAUUCAGAUUCUUUUUUUCAAUUUUAAACGAAUUUACUGUUUGUAACUUCCUGAUUAAGACUAGAAGCUCCAUUGGAGAGCUUAGUGCAAAGUGGUGUGUUUUGCCUUAGAUGAAGGGAAUCCAAAGACUUAGGAAUAGACCAAGCAUAAUGAUGCCAUGAAUUUUGGAGCUCCUUCCAAAAAUAUGACCUGCAAAUGGAGUCAAGGCGCGUGCAUUGCUGUCUAGAACACCUGGAAGUGACAUAAUUCAUAUACACACUGAACAAGUCUUUCAUAGCUUACGAUGACUUAUUAUCUGCCGUUUCUUUAGCAUUUUUUCAUAAGAAAUCUAAUAGCCACUCCCACAUGUAUGAACUAAAUUUCUCGAUUUCAUGUGUUCCCGAGCAUUUGUCGGUAAAAGGACGGGUCUGUCACGGGUCCGUGAAAUGAUGGUAGAGUCAUCAUGGAUCCGUGGAGGAGCAACUUCGUCGUAGGGCACAUACCACUAUCACAGAUUCAUAGUUCAGUUCAUUAGACAUGCCAAUAAAGGCAUGCACAACGAAAUCGCGUACGGCGAUCAUCAUGAUGCUUCAAGGGCAGAGAGACAUGCUUACUACUCCUUCCUAAAUAGUAUUCUUUGUGUAAACUAACAUAAAAGCGUUUAGAUUACUAAAAUAGUGAUCUAAAUGCUUUUAUAUUAGUUUACGGAGUGAGUAUAAGCUUUUUAGAUAUUUCAAUAUAAACAACAUACGGUGCAAAAUGAGUAAAUCUACUCUCUAAAAUGCGUCUAUGAUCCUGUUUGGUUCAGCUUUUAUCGACGGAUUCCGCUGCCGUGCAGCAGAAUCUGAACCAAGCGAACCCAACAGAAUCCGAUUCCAGAAAUCCGCUGCCAAAAUCCGAACCAAAAACGAAAGCAGCCCAAGAUGUACUUUCCAAAAUCUGAUUUCGCCGCGGACCAAAAUCUGAAAAAGCUAUAUCAGCUGGUUUGCCGAAUGUCCUACAUCUUUUUCACAUCAGAUUUUCCACAGCUGUUUUUUCACAGCUGCUUUUAGAAAUUUACAGCCGAACCAAACAGGGCCUAGAUACAUCCGUAUGCAGUACAUAUUGAAAUCUCUAGAAUGGCCUAUAUUUAGAAACGGAGGGAGUAGGAGGCAAGCGAGUCAUCUUCAUGACGUUGCUUGCGGUUCAUAACUUUGGACCAACAAUGUCUGUUCACAAGAACAUCAACCCCCCUCGGACAUGUUACAACUGACAAAAACCCGGAUUAUUGUCCACAACUAUUUUACUUGAGCCACAGAUCAAUCACGGUUAACUAAUCCAAACCGAUAAAGUUAAUAUUUGGGAGUCAGAUAGAUACACAGAGAAUAAUCAAUAAGACCAAACAGCAAGCCCCGAUUCCUCGAGCAGACCGAACGAAACGAAUUUCUUCCAUAGCGACCAUUCAUCCAAAGAUGUAUCUCAGCUCGUAUCACAGAUGCGACGAGCCUCAAGGCCGGUCCCCCAUAUGCAUCAUGAAUCAUUUCCAGCAGUAGAACAGGUUUGCGCGCGAUCUGUUCAAAUCAUAGUCACCUCAGGCAAAUCAGUAUUCAGAAGCACGAUCACCGGCCCGUUUUCGCGCGUUUCAUCCCGGUGGAGUUGAACGGUGAUACACUGGGACUGAGAUGGGGGCUUGGGCUUGGGCUUUCCUCCUCCCUUAGAGUGCCAUUCAGUAUUGCCAAUUCUCUCAGCUGUUGCUUCUUGAAGUAAUCCAUGGAUUCAUCCUGGUGAUACGCAAUACCGUUAGCAAGACAGGUAAAGCCGACUCAAUUCAAAGAAAAAAUGAGGUCAUGGAAAUGUGGGAACUGCGACAGAUAAGAUGGUAAGCGACAUACUACUGGUUUGAGAAGAUCUUCCAGUAUGACCACAGCCUGGUUUAGUCGCGCAUCAACGAUAUCCGCCGGGAACUCAGCUUCGAUAAGCACAUGCAGUGGUUCGUUUAAGUGCUCAUAGCCAGGCUUAGCUCUAAGCUUGUUUUCCUAUUCAAUAAAAAAAAUCAGCUUUCAGAACCUCUCCAACAAUAUUUUUGGUAGUCACUGGAUGAGAGGAAUUGUUAAACACAAGAGUUAAUUCUAUUAAGCAUGCUUACAAAAAUAUACUCCCUCUGUAAAGAAAUAUAAGAGCGUUUUCAAAAGGGAUGCCACUGAAAUAAGUUGUGAAAAACAAUCAACACACCAUACUAUCUAGGCAACAACAUGAGAAUAUAGGCAAGAUGAAUAUAAUGAACACACCACAUUUUAACUGACAGCUCUACUAAAAUAUCAAAUGUUACGGGGUGAGAUACAAAUGGUGAGCAAACAUAGUAUACGGAGCCUAGAAGGUUUGUUUAGACUUUCUGCACUGUUUGUGGGUAAAUUACUUGUAGAAUUUUCAUCUUAACAAGCCAUGGCUUGAAGUUUACGACGCUAGAACAUAACAAAUACCUGAGCAGAACUGGAACCGUUCUUUUACUUCAAUCAAUACAUAUGCUGCCCAUUACUAGCUCAACAUCUAUCAGCCUUUUACUGUGUAAGGCAUAUUGUACUUAUAAAAACAUGGGAGUUUGCCGGCCAAAAAAAAACAUGGGAGUUUUACAUCAAUCAGAAGAAUUCAGGAUCAACCUUCAGUUUUACUUGCAUAUCCAAUUUAAUUAACAAAUAACAACCAUACAUACUAUAUCCAUAUUUUAACGUGCAAAAUAAGCACUGUAACGGAACACGGUCUUAAAAUGUUUCUAGAAAAAAGGUGGUGCUAGAACAUUCUAAGAGUGUGAGUAAGCAACAAUGAAAUGGUGGUUCUAAUCUGUGUUUAAUUACCUUCACAGUAUCUUUCACUGAACCACGUCCACGAAUAUAGACUCUACAUUGUGUUGUAGCUUCAACUCUUUUCAGGGAGUUUCCUCGUGGCCCCAACAAACGGCCAACAAAGUUGAACUAAACAUAACAAAAGAUUGCAGAUGAUUUGAAUUUAGUAAAUCUCAUAAUCGAGUUAAAUAGUUUAUCAAAACAGCUUGAGGUGAAAGUAUGUCGUACAUACAUUUGGAUACUUUUCUGCUGGAACAUCCAUCCUGACAAGUUUCUUCACAACAGGGCCGCCAACAACUCCAGGACCACCAUUCCAGCCCAUGGAUGGUGAAUGGUGUAUCCCCAUAUGCUGAAGGCAGGCAUUUUAAUAUAAUCAAUGAAAAGAAAUAAUAUGUAAGUGUUUCUAUUUGGCAUUGAAGAUGGCCAGUGUUGCACAUUAAUUAUUACUCCCUCCGUCCCAAAAUAAGUGACUCAACUUUGUACUAACUUUAGUACAAAGUUAAGUCACUUAUUUUGGGACGGAGGGACUACAUGAUAAGAAGUUGUACAAGUCUCUUAGUUGUAAUAUCAGGAAAACGAUAUGAAUAAAGAGUCCAUAUAUCCGCAUCACUUCCUUAACAAAACCCAGGUUGAUUCUCUACUGUAUUGUCGAAUUACGAUUUUCAUGGGUGGAUGAAAUUGCUCACAGGUCGUAAAGAUCGGUUACAAGAACGACUGGCCGAGGUUUACCUGGUGUCAAGCUUCUAUCAUUUACAUAUAAUUAUCCUCAUGGGUAGAACCAGUGAUUCCUAAUCAUUAAUCUCGCAGGAAUAAUUUUGAGAUCCAAGGCUUGGAUGAAAAUCACCAUUGAACUAGCAAGAACGUUGUCAUUUUCUCAAAAGGAAAAAGCCAAAACAUGCCAUUCUUGAAUUAUUCAAAGCUAUUAACAUCUGUACUGUAACAGUGGCUGUAACUUGAUUGGUGCUUUUGAAACCAUUCCUAUUAGUAUGACAAUGUAUAGCUUUCCUUUUUUCCGUUUCAUGUUAAUGAACUGGACAGCUGACUGAUACUCGGUCUUAAAAGUGGUUCAUUGGUUCCUGCGAAUUUCUAAACAGCUUCAAGGAUAACAUGAACUAGUUGGCAGCACUCGUAGAGAUUUGCAUAUUUGAAAUAGCCAUAUUAGAAUAAGAAAAAAAAGUAGAGAAAGUAGAUGUAAUCAUGCCAGCAUUUCUCUAACAGCUAUAUAGAACGUUAAGGCAGUUAGGACUUGUAAAACCAAUAAUCAGAAGAUUGUAUGAAUUUGCACAACCUCUGCAUGCAUUCCAGUCCAUCCCUCCAUAUCCAUUGGUUGACCGUUCAUAGGGUGGCCAGCUAAUCUUAAUGGGCUACCAUAAUCGAAUCUCUCAGGUUCAACAAAAUUUGGGUUAGGUGGCAAAGAAGAUGCCCGCAGAAUUUCUGCAUUGAAGAAAACAAGCCAGUACGAAAUCCGUUAGUUCUAUUUGUGUCACUUUAAAUCAGGGAGAAAAUAUCCAUGCUAUGUUUGUAUCUAUAACCUGGAACUACAACUGGAUGUUAGAAUUUAGAAAUCGCCACUCAAGUAAUAUAAUGGUUAAAUUAUGAUAAAGAAGUGAAAAGUAAGCAUGUUAACUGUAAGACAUGACUGAGGAACUUAAGGGUGUUAGACUGUCUGGUAUUCUUGUUUCGUCAAUGAGUUAGUUCUGCAUGUUAGACAAUCUCUGGCAGCAAUUUAUGUGAUUUACAUGAAUGCCAUCAUUUGGGAUUCCGAAGUAACGGUAUGGUGGAACAAGACUGAUAACACAUUCUGAAAAGAAAUCCUCAUGAGCAGCUUUUCAUAUAAAGAGAACGGACAUGAUUGCUCAAAGAAGAAUAGCAAUUUCUUCUGACAAACAGCGAGGAUGGCUAAGAAUAGCAACUGGGUGAAUGUAAACACUCUAAUAGCAACUAGAAUCUACGGUUACUGGGAACUACAUAAACAAAUACAGUAGCUUCCAUGUAAUUUGAAAAAAAAAAAGAGAGAGAAGGGAACAGACCUUGGUUUAAAAGCCUGUUACAAAAUGGAAGAACUUGCAGGAAGGGAACUAGUUUCUGCCUCUCAGCAAGUAACUCAGCAAUAUACCUGCAAAGCAAACCAUCUCAUUAGUAAGAUCAACUGCAAGUACCACAGGCACAUAUUUACUUAAGAGCAGAAAAUAAGAGUAGCACCAAUAAUUAGCGACCUAAUCAAAAGUCAAAACAACGAGCACCCUGCAAAUGAACUUCACACUACCAGAGGCCAAUCGAGGACAUCAUGCUCAUUUAUUCGUAACAGCAAGCACAAAUCUACCAUCAGCAGGCAAUAUCCCCAAAUCCUCAACUUGGGAGAUCACUACAGCGUGGGGACAUCAUUUGACCAUCACCAAAAUCACACCGGGACGGUGAAGAUUAGGCACAAAUCUCGCACGACCAGAGUCAAAUCUCACGCCCACGACGAGUUUUUCAAGCUAGUAGAAUCGUCGCAAAGAUAAAAACGAAAACUUCACGGCAGUUCACAAGAGGAUGAGGAUGGGGCACAGACCUCUCCCUCUCGGAGGCAGACGACCUCAUGGGGUUGUGGUGGUGAGGGGAAGAAUGGACGCCGGACGGCGAGUACUGGAAGAAAGGGGGCGGCGGGAUCCUCUCAUCCAUGGCUCCCAGCAUGAACAAGAAACCAAAGAAGAGCCCUGCAAGAUUUCGUUGCAAUCUCUGGGCAAGCCAGGGAGCCCAGGGAGCCAAGAAAUCUGGAGAAGGGAGGAAGAGGAGCAGCUGGCGGCUAUCAAGGCAAAUGAAUGUGGUGGAGGCCCUAUAUGGGAUCCAAUGAAAUCUAGAAAAGACAGGAAGGUGCCAAGAACCGAGAAAUAAGUGCAGGGAUGGGUGGGGAUUUGAUGAUUAUAUAUGCUAUGGAUUAAACAAAAAGGGGAGGUGAUAGCUGGGUUCGCGUCAAUCAAUUAUCGGAGCCCAGGCUGUGCGGGGCUGGCAGCGGCAGCAGCAGCAGCGCUUUGUGCCUGCCCGCUCCUGCUGUUCUUGCUCGCUGUUCCUCCUCCCUGUACUGCAGCGUCGCACGCACCCUGUGGAGAGGGGUUGUGGGCGACCGGUGAGAGGGGGGAAGAGACAAGCCGGGGGCCUUGGAUGCUCGCUCGCUGCUCUAUGCAGCUGUGGUGUCGCUCACCGGCUUCUGAACUUCGGGCUAUUCGAGGAGAGAAUUUCCUUAUCUGGCCCUUUUUUAAAUUUUGAUUUCUUUUUUGCCUAAAAAACAUCCUUUUUUCUUUUUUAACAUUUAAAUUUAUUUUGUUUCCUAUGUGUCACUUCCGUUAGUUUUGACAAGUAACAGUAUUAAGUUUAACCUAGAAAGACGGUUUUACCCCUUGUGUAGAAUGUGACCUGAUUAUUUACAUGCAAACGUAGAGGUAAUGUAAUAUUUUUUGUUCGCCCAAAAAAAGUGAUAUAUUUUGCUGUAGUUCAAUAAUAAAAAAAUAGUGCUAUAUAUAUAUAAUAGUACUUGCUGUAGAAAAAAGAAUAGUUACUACCCAUGUGUACACGAUUAAAUCAUCGUCACAUCGUCACGACAACUCGUGGGCGUGUCUGGCCGUGGCGGUGUACUGCCUGAGCGUGCCGGCGAGCAUGAGCAUGGCGAAGAUCUGGUGGCUGUACUAGUUGAUGUAACUUGUAAGUCGAACUGUUCGAAGUAACGUUUUUAUUUCUCUUUCAGGUCAGGAAAAAAAAAGAAAAA
rnacentral:lncRNA from 1 species